GAAAAGUUGCAUUAUUGUAACUGCUAGUUCAGCCUAUGCCCAACAAAUAAUGUCCCAUUGUCCAAGACAAGUGUUUACAAGUGGCCCACUUAACUGCUAGCCACCAACCUUGGGCCGGAGCACAGCCCCACCUAACCGCCUCACACAUUUUUCAUCGAGCCUCAUACAGGACCUGAUUCCGGAGUCUGCAACUAGGCGUGUUCAUGUCACACAGGGUAAGUGCCAUCUGGGAUUGUAAGUUGAGUAUAUGGGGACCUCUCCUGGCCCAGACAGAUAGCAGCUCACGGGAGUACCAGCCCUUCUGCGUUGAUGCUGUUUUCGAGGCACCCGCCUCCAUGCUCCCACGGUCGGCACUGCAUUAGGGUCUCACCCAAGAUGUCUUGACUGAAUUUUGCCUUGCUGUGGUUAAACGUGGAACAGUGCUUCAGCAGCAGACCCCUGCAUUGCGUUGUGGGUUCGGUCAGGUGAGGCAGGGCUGUGAAUUUAUAUUUUAACUACCACUAAUUGCAUUUUAAAACUGUGCAUUAUGGGUCUUUCAUCUGUUUCGUGUUUUGCCCUAUUUUAGAUCACAUUGCUGUUUAGAUUGUUGGGCCUGCUUCAGCCUUUUUUCAAGAUGGUUUACAUUUGAUGUGUAUAGAAUCUGAAUGUUAUAUUGUCGUUCGAGUCUCGUAGAAUUAAGGAGAGACACAGUUCCAACUUCCUGUUUAACCCACUUAUGUAAGAGUUUGCAACUUCUGCAAAUUUUUCUUUUUUUUUUUAAAAUUCUUUAUUUUUCGUGCAUGAGUUAAUAUAACAAGCUUUCAUGCCUUGCCCCAACAGCAGUAGCAUGUACCGAUAUAAACAAGAGAUAACAGUUGUGGCAUAGGAAAUAAUUGCAAAUUUUUUGUAUAAAUUUGUCAAGAAAAAAACUGAGUGAUUGUCAGUGGUGCGACGACACAACAUGUGGUGUGAGUUCAAGCCAUACCGGCUGACUGUAUAGGCAAAUUCACUAGGAGAUAAGCGUGGUGUAUUUGUGAGAUAGACUAAUAAGCUGGUGAGCUGCACAGCUAACUGAUUGUGUGGAUUUUGUGUGCGAUGGUAUGCGGUUAUGUGACAUGUGUCGUGUAAGUUCCGCGCCCAUUUGGAGGCCAUGCUUUGCUGGACUUGCGCCCUUCUGGGUUCCCCCUGGAGUUGGUCGCUGUGUGAUUGUUGCCCUCUUUUAUAGCGUGGCCAAGAAUCAGUCAAACAGCUCGUCUAUUCAUUGGAGUGUCCGCUCCAUGAAGUGCGUUGUAGCGUGUGAGCUGUGUGCAUCCGCCAUCUUGAAAGCCCUGGGGAACUGAGGCUGCUGGUGGGAUAUACCUGCUGGGUGCUCCCUGUGGCAGUUGUCAGCCGCACGGUUGUGUCGUGCAUGCCAGGGAGGACCGGGAUAACGCCUGCCGGUCCAUGGGGGGUGGACAACAUUUGUCGAUUGUUACCGCCAGUUAAAGCUGCCGGAGAGCGGCUGUCUCUCCUUGGCCGGUCACUGGUAGGCCGCAAACUUCGAGUUGGAUUUGCCAGUGGAGGAGAGUCCUGCAAAAGGCAUCCCCAGAACCACCGGCGGGUCAGGAUCAAGUUUAGUUUUGCUUUGCAGCCCGGUCGGUAUUUGGCUCUAUAAAUUUCUCGAGUUUAGUGUGCCAGCCGCAGGAGCUCAUGCAGCACACGUCUGUGCAGCUCUGCUGCCAGACUCCCCCCCAAUUCUUCUUCUUUUUUAUUACAUUGAAGUAUAUACAAAUGCUUAAAGACCAGCAGAGCAAAUGUAGCUUCAUACAGUAUUCUAAAAUAUUGCAUAUAAUAUUAAUUCUGUAAGUCUGAACAUAUAGUGAGAAGUUUUAGCAAUCGUGUUAUCCCUACCAGUUUAUUCAGUCGAUAUUACAGUCAUCACUCAAUAAAAUAAUCUAAAUAUAAAAGCACACGAUGUGUCAGCAGAUAAUGACCACGGUUUUAUCCAGUCGGGCCAUUUUUCCUAAUCUUCUAUAAAGCUUUUAACCUUAUUUAAUCCAUGAUAUGUAUUCAUAGUCAGGACUCUCCAUUCACUACUAAAAAUCUUUUUUUAUUUGGAAUAAAAGACAUCAUGGGAGAUGUAUUUCAAAACACCAGUAAUGACAGGCAGCACAGUUAAAACAUGUUAAUGUUAUAAUAACAAUGUAUAAAAUAAGUUAUUAUCACUUAAUAUUAACUAUAUACAAAUCAAUUUUCUGAGCAUGGUAACUUUAAACUUAGUGACAGACAGACAAACUUAUUGUAUUUAUAUUUACAAAUGUGAGGUAUGAAUGAUGCUUUCAAAUGCUGAAAGAAAUAUUCUGUCAUGAAGCGAUAUGGGUCAACUAUUAAUAUCAAUAGUAUUCAAUCAAGAAAUAUACUUCCUCAAAAAUUACUUUUCUGUGUAUUUUCAUAAAAAUAUUAAAGGGUCAAUAAUACAAUAAGCAGUAGUGAUUAUGGUGACAGUAUCCGUCACCUGACACCACCCCAUGGUAAGUAGUCAAAAUAUUUUUGAUACUUACCUAGGUGCCCCGGGUGCGUCUACCUUACCCCAUCUUCUAGAAUUACUUUUGCAGAGGUUCCCACUUCAAUAGCAGUGACAUAAAUUCAAUUCUCAGUCAGUGUGAAAUUGAUAUAUCUAAUAGGGGAAGACAGAGAAGGGGAACUAUUGACUAUUUACCGUGGGGCAGUGUCAGGGCACUCUUGGAACCAUUAUCACUACUGUGUGCUAUGUUGUUUAUGGUACCAAGACUGCCACUUUACAGAAAAUGCUAAAAUGUUCAUGUGACGAUACAGCCUUAAUAUAUCGUCCGUGGAUAUUCUUCUUACAUAACUUGCUGCAUUAAACUGCUACACUAAAUGCUAGGACUCCUCUUUGGUAGCGUAUGCAGGAUAUACUGAGCUGAUAUCUGGUUACUAUAUGAUAUUCUAUCCAUCCAGUCUCCUGGCAAUACCCUUAUUAGUAAUUACUCUAUAGAGGACAAUGAAUAGCCAUAUCUUGUGAGACCUCAAGGAAGAGACAACACCAGCUUCUUCCUUGGCAACUCUACAGAACUCAGACUCACUCUCUGGCUGUUUAUUGUAUCCAGUUCCAGCUUACAAAGAUCACAGCAUACAGUAAAAUAAACAUUACACAAAACAUUCACCAAUGGGAAUACAAAACAGAUCACAGGGAAAGAACUACAAUGCAACAAAGUGAUUCUUUACACUAGUUACCACCUCCCCCUGUGCCAAUACACCAUGACAACAAAAGGUUAUCUUGAUUGGACCCACUGUCCCUUCAGAGCAAUCCUUUUGCUGUAGUAGAUAGAUUUUUUGGCUCCCACAGCAGGUGGUCACUCACAGUGCAGCAUUUAACUUGAUUAGUCUACGGAAUAAAUUUCAUCCCUAACUAUACUUUAUAGUUUAUAUAGCUGCUGCCCCGCUUCCCCCUUUGUUAACCCACAUCUGCAUAUACAGACACACCGCUCUAUGUAUAAUUGUCAGGGUCUUACCUGGGUUGGGAGUCUGUAGCGCAGAUAUGUUGCUCACCCUUGCAGAUAGCCACAGGCCAAGGUGGUCAGGUAAGAAUUCACCUCGCCUGUGGGUCUGUGCACGGGGGCUGUGCAGGAUGAAGUACCAAGUCGCAGGACAGGCAAGGACUCAAACAGCAGGAUCAUCAAAGGAUAGCCGAGGUCAAAGGAUGCCAGAAGACAGGAACAACGAGGAGUAGCCGAAGUCAAGGGAUGCCAGAGGUCAGAGUAAACGUAGUCAGAAGCCGGGGUCAAUAACAAGUAGCAGUUCAAACAGGAACACUGGUACAAAGCACACAACAGGAUCAAAGACUUGAUCCUGAUCACAGGGCGAGGCUGAGUUUAAAUACCCUGCUAAUGUCUGAUCAGGUUCAGGUGCAGCACAGCCAAAUUCAAGGUACAGCCCCCAGAGUGAUAGACAAGCCAGGAUGAACAGGACUGGAAUGACUUGCAGAAUACAAAAGCUGCUGUGGCUCAGAGGUAGGAAGCAGGACCAGGACUGCAAAGUUCCCCGGUUCAAGUCCCUUGUUGGGAUCUCCACGGGUGACCACGUCUGGCCGUCUGUUUGCUGCGGCGAGAACCGUGACAGUACCCCCCCUUCAAGAACACCCUCCGGGUGUGAUUUAGUUGCUCAUCAUUACCUUCCUCCUCUGAGAGAUCAAAUACAUCAUCUGGCAGGAGGUAUGUUUUUCCAUAGGCAUCCAUGCCAUACGUACGGCUUUCUUCCAGAUUAGAGGGAAACACAGCACCUACUGUAGCCUCUGCUCUAGUAGUUCUCACAGGGGAGGUAUUUGCAGCUUUCAAUGCUUUUUCAAAUAUUUCUAGAUCCUGUUUGCAUACAACUGUGCCAUUUGAGGCAUACGUGCAGUCAGGUGGCAGAACCUUUUUGGCAAGGCAGGAAGUGGUAAUGGUGCUUGCUUGAGCAGAAGUGUCAUCAGGAAGAGGUCUAGAUGUUUCUGGAGCAGGAGGUGGAGAUUCCACAGGGGUACUGGUUGCAGGUUCUUGAGGGACACUGGUAACAUUGACUGUAGUAGUUUGGGUACCCUUUUGUGUCACAAGACGGGGACACAGCUGGCAUGCAGUGUACACAGGGUGGAGGAAAGUAGUACCCAGUCGGAGAGCUGGAGGUCUAGGAGGACGAACAGGGCAAAGUGUGAUGAAAUGCCCUCUUUCUCCACAGUAGUAACAUAGGCCAUGGCUUCUCCUUCGGUCUCUUUCCUCAGGUGUCAAUUUGCAGUGAACAAGUCCUAAUUGCAUAGGUUCCUCAGGGUCGAGUGGAACACAGGAUACCUCAGGAGUUUUCCUAGGAACAGGAUCAGAAGGAGACAUCACUGGGGUGUAGUGGUGGUACUGGGUUUCUUGGUUACGAAGAAUCUGAGAUUUUUUGGUACGUGGAGCUGGCUUGGUCACAGUGGUCUUGCAUUGUGAGUCCAUAGCGGUACUGAAGGAUUCCCAGCUGACAAGGACAGGACUCUUUGUCUGCAACAUUUGGUGAGCCCAUACUUUGAUGCGUCCAGACAACAGGUUGAUAGCCGCUCGGACCUUGAUGAAUUCUGUGGCAUAUGUUCGAGGCUUUAAAGAAAACAACACCUCACAAUCCAUCUUAAAGGACUGAAAGGACGUGCGGCUACCAUCAAAACGGUCGGGCAUGAUGACAAACGGUUCAGGAUAAGCUGGUUCCGAGGCUGGACGUACUGCGCCUUUAAGAAAUAAAAUUUCUUGCUGCAACUCCAAAACAGUCUGGGCCAGGCUGGACACUGGUUGGGACAGGGGUGAGCACAUCUCUGCGGACUCCAUAUUGAUCAAGUCUUUUGUCAGGGUCUUACCUGGGUUGGGAGUCUGUAGCGCAGAUAUGUUGCUCACCCUUGCAGAUAGCCACAGGCCAAGGUGGUCAGGUAAGAAUUCACCCGGCCUGUGGGUCUGUGCACGGGGGCUGUGCAGGAUGAAGUACCAAGUCGCAGGACAGGCAAGGACUCAAACAGCAGGAUCGUCAAAGGAUAGCCGAGGUCAAAGGAUGCCAGAAGACAGGAACAACGAGGAGUAGCCGAAGUCAAGGGAUGCCAGAGGUCAGAGUAAACGUAGUCAGAAGCCGGGGUCAAUAACAAGUAGCAGUUCAAACAACAGGAACACUGGUACAAAGCACACAACAGGAUCAAAGACUUGAUCCUGAUCACAGGGCGAGGCUGAGUUUAAAUACCCUGCUAAUGUCUGAUCAGGUUCAGGUGCAGCACAGCCAAAUUCAAGGUACAGCCCCCAGAGUGAUAGACAAGCCAGGAUGAACAGGACCGGAAUGACUUGCAGAAUACAAAAGCUGCUGUGGCUCAGAGGUAGGAAGCAGGACCAGGACUGCGAAGUUCCCUGGUUCAAGUCCCUUGUUGGAAUCUCCACGGGUGACCACGUCUGGCCGUUUGUUUGCUGCGGCGAGAACCGUGACAAUAAUACAGCAAUAUCUAGAUACAUGGAAAACAGUCAUAAAAAUGGCGUUGCAAGCUUGUGGCUUGCGCCAAACAAAUCAGGCAAUCCAUCACAGUUCAAAUACUAAAGAAUGGGUUAUGGCAAUAUUAUUUAAAAAAACAUAAAGUUCCAUAAGUAAUUCCAUACAAUCAGUGCAUUAUUGAGCACUACAAAGAACUUUAGCAUUGGAGGUUAAUGAUAAAGUGGUAAAUAUAAUAUCUGUAAUGAAUAUCCUACCCCGACUUUUAUAUCUUUUUCAAUCACUGCUGAUGACGCCACCUACUGUAUUCUUCUCCUCCCUGACAUCCGCAAUCAUAAAAUAUGUCUGGAAAGGCAAUCGACCGCGAAUAAGACACAAAACCCUGUGCCUAUCAAGACACUGGGAUGGCCUUGCACUCCCAGACAUAAAGAAAUACCACCAUACCUCCACGUUACAAUGCAUACUGGAGUGGCACUCCCGCCCACGCCACAAGCAGUGGAUCACACUAGCGGAGGCCAGCGGAAUCGCACAUCUACUCGAAGCAGUCUGGAUGAUUCAACCCACCACCCAGAGAGAUCCAGACUGGAUGUCCCCAGCAGGACACACCCUAAAAACAUGGAACACCAUGCGUAGGGCCCCGCAACUCUCCCCAGUCCCGAGCCCAAUGAUCCCGUUAACCAACAAGCGCUCAAUCAGUGAAGGAGUAACUGUUAAAACUUGGGGCUUCCUUGGCGACCAGGAAUUCACCCCUAUACACAACGUUCUGGAUGACAACGGACUAAAACCACUACUGGAUCUUACCAAUAAUCGAACCCCGAGACUACUGCACUCAUUCCGAUACACUCAAUUUCAAUACUUUUACAACUCACUCAACAACAAAUCAGCCACACGUAGGGCCUCACACCAUUCGAGACUCUCUGCCUGUCCAAGACAAUCUUGUACCUCUACCAAUACACCCUUAUAGGAGACCGCUCAGAAAUACUUACAUUCAAAAAGCAAUGGGAACUCAUCACGUGACACACAUUUACCCCGAACCAAUGGGCAAAGAUACUCAUCUUACACCACAAAUCCUCAGUAAGUUCCCGGUAUCAAGAAGUCAAUUACAAACUCCUGUCACAAUGGUACAAAACUCUGUCACGCUUACACAGGAUCUUUCUGACUGUCUCGGAAACAUGCUAGGAGGAAGGGACCUUGCAACACAUUUGGUGGGAUUGCAAUGGCAUCAAGCCAUUCUGGGACUUGAUCAACACCAAAAUUGCAAAGAUCCUGGGAGAUCAAUCUCGUACUACAAAAAAUCCAUUCUACGACACUUGCUCGACGCAGCUAAAGCGCUCAUACCCGCUCUAUGGAAACAAUCGCAGACCCCGACACUAGCACAAUGGUACAAACGGGUGGAGGAAAUCUACUCCGCGGAGACUGUGAGGGCAUCCUUGAUGGGACGGAGCGAUAGACAUACCGAGAUGUGGAGGUGUUCAUUGCUGGAGGAGGAAAGGGGCAGAAGUGGAGGGGAGGGACGGAGGUCAUCGGCACUUGGUCUGACGACACCACUCACCCCUCACCAAUAUGGUACUCCAUACUUCAUAACACCACGCUAAUCUACAUUACCACAUUUACGGCAGACAUGGGCAGAACACCCUGCUCUAGGGGGGGAGACCAUGGUUAGGACCCACCUGGGGGGGUCUGCCUUGACGUUGGCAGGUGGGCUUAUCCUCUCAUUGCCAUUGAAGGUAACUAAAAAAACCUCCAUUUGUUUAAAAAUACAUAGGGAUUAAGGAGAGAAUGCAGGUAACUUGUUUUUCUUUGGUUUUUACUAUAUAUUGGGGCUGAUGUGUACUGUAGUCAUUGCUGCCGCCCAGUGAUGGGAGUGAGUGCAUGACUUAUCUUUCUGCAUUUGUAUCCAUUUUUUGUAUCACUCAUCCUUGUUACAAUGCAGCCGCCCAUCCCAUGUGUUCCCUAUUAAGGGUUAAUAAUAUAUAGGGGUGUAUAUAAAAAAUACCCCUUUCUGUCUCAUUAGAGAUCUUUGCCAGAAGUUCAAGGAAGCAACGUGAAUGGUUAGAGUUAGGACCCACCUGGGGGGAGAUCUGCCUUGACAUUGGCAGGUGGGCUUAUCCUCUCAUGGCCAUUGGAGGUAACUAAAAAAACUCCAUUUGUUUAAAAAUACAUAGGGUUUAAGGAGAGAGCGCAGGUAACUUGUAUUUCUUUAGUUACAUAAUAUAUUUGGUAUUGCGCUGUGAGGUAGCAGCCCUCAAAUCUCUCUAUAAUAAUUUCUGGGGGGCAAAUGCCCACUUGCCCCUUUUACCACCCUUUCCCUGGGUGUGUCUUGGGGACUGUGUUGGGAUCCACUGUUAAAGACUUUUGUUUAUUCUUGUCUGUGUGAAAAUUUUAAUUUAUUAUGUGGUGUAAAAGGAUCUAGCAUCAGUGCUUAAAAAAUAAUUCCCUAGGAAGCUCCACGGUUCAGAAAUUAGGGACUAUCUAAUGCAGCUCUUCUGAAAACAUUGAUAACAAUAGGUUGAAAACCACUGGUCUAAUCAAUAAAUAGAGAUUAGAUAGAGAUUGCAGUUGCCAAGCAUAUGACCAAACAGGCUUGUAACACCAUUGCCUUUAAUUACUUAAAUUAAAUAUUUUUCCCAAGUUAUCAAUUUAGGGACAAUCAUAUACUCCCUUUAGAUGUUAACAACGUAAACACAAUAUUGACUUUAUACAUUCGUAAGAUUCCACUGUUAUUUGUCAAUGUCUGUUACGACAUGUGCGUGCUGCUAUGUCUGAGGUUUGAUUUCUAAGGAUAAAUGAAUGUCAAAUUAAUGCUGAAAAUGUGCAUUCAGUAACCAAAGAGAGCCGAUGAACAUGUAUGUAAAUGGAUUACUGAAGCUGUAACCAUCAGGGAAUUAGAUAGGAUGCUGCCAGUUCAGAAUACAAUAGGCAGUUAGAAAAUCCUGUCUGGUCAUAGUUUUGAUUUAUAGAGAUACUAAUGCAUUUGCUAAUUAGUGGGUUUUUUUUUUUUCUUCCUCUGCUCGGUUAUUGAAAAGGAUCUGUCACUGAAAAUGAUACCCCAAAUGUGUUAUAUCACUGAUGUGUGACUAAAUUCAAUUUGGUCUCUUUGUUGCUCUCUUUAGACAAUGAUAAAUGUUGUAUACCUUAUAUUCUAAAAAAGAAAAGAAAAGAUUAAAUGAUUAAUUAGUAAUAUGUAUAGGCUGAUUCUUCAUAAAUUUAGUUUACUAACCUUAGAUUGUGAAAGAAACAUGUGUAUGCAUCCCUUAUUGUUGUAGUGUAAUGCUUUCAUGCAUGUGUGACUAAGAGUGAUGGGAGUUUUAGCAAAAAUCACCAAACAUCACAGACAGUGUCUGUCUCUAACUUGGAAAUAAAUGCCAAUCAAACGUUUAAUUCUUCUGAUAUUAAAGGGGCACUCUGGACACCACAAAAUAGUAUGAAGAGGUCCUUGAGUGUCGUCUUACCUGAAGGUUGUUAAAGCAUUAAUGAGUUGUUUAACCACCAAGUCUGCAAGUCGGCGGCCAACGCUCUGCAUCUGCACUUCCUCUGAAUGUCUAAAGCUACAGUCAGCUGACACUCGCAGUCUGUCAAUAGCUCCCCUUUCAGAAAAGUGACUGCAAUAAGAUACAUAUCUUUCUCACUCACGUUUCUCAAUGGGGAGCUACUGAUAGGAUGAGGAGCUGGUCCAAUCAGGAUCCAGCUUGCAGAGUUUGGAGUAAACCCUUCAGGUAAGAAAGUGUCUAGAAUCUCCAUGAACCAGAGCAACUUCCUUUAGAUUAAAUUGUUAUGGUGCCAGGCAGUGGUGUAUUUUAAAAUGGGGCGGCCCAAGGCAUGACAGAUCUCGGUCACGCCCUAAUUUAAAUGUACACGCCCCUUCCUGCAAGGCCACACCUUUCCUGUUAAUUAACACACAUUUUGACUGACAGACACACACUCACGGACCAGCACACACUCUCAGAUACACUAACAUAUACACACACAUACACUCACUGAUUUGACACAAUCUGACAGACACAUACAAUCAUUCAGAUACACAUAAGCACUGACAGACGCACCCAAUUACUGACAGACAUGCACAAUCACUCAGACACACACAUUCACUGACAGACAGACACAAACUCACUGACAGACACACAUACUCACACAAUGACACACACACAUUCACUGACACACACUCACAAUCACUGACACACACACACACACACACACACACACACACACACACAAUAACUGACACACACACACACACUCACUGACAGACAUACACACUCACUGACAAACACACACACAUUCACUGACACACACAAACACACACAUACACACACACACUCAAAUUCAGACACACUCACUCACAUUCACUGACACACACACACACACACACUCACAUUUACUGACAAACACAUACAUUUUCCCCAACACUCACAAUUAUUAUUAUUUUUUUAAUUAAUUCCACCCAGUCUCCCUACUUUUGGUCCAGUGGAGCUGCUGGCCAGAAAGGUAGGAAGGUGGGCGGAUGUGCAGGCAGGCUGGCAGGCGACCACACUAUCAGUGAGGGAACUGUGAUCUCCCUGCUCAGCUCCCUCGUGUGCUGCAGAAUUAUCCCAGGAGCUGGACUGACGUCAUAUUCCGGCUCCCGGCAUCACUGCAGGUUGUGCAAGGGAGCUGAGCAGGAGAACUCAAGGGAAAGUGCUCCCUCGCUGCCCGCUCGGAAAACAAAUUGCUGCCUGUCCCGGGGGGCCUAAAGGUGGCCAGAAAAGGCAGUAGCCUGGGCAUUUGGGGGCAGCAUUUUUUGCCGCUCCCUGGAAAGUGCCGCCCAAGGAAAAUACCUUGUUUGCCUUGUGGUAGAUACAUCCCUGGUGCUAGGAGUGUUCCUUUAAUCCUUUACAGUGCAGUACAUUGCGUUGUAGACUUUCCUGAGUACCACAAGUAAUCUGGGUCACAAUAAUUGCUAUUGCCUGCAGAGUCUAUUAUAACAGAAAAAUAUUAUUAUAUGUGUCUUAGCUUAAAGGGACACUAGUCCAGACUAGUGAUGUCGCGAACCGUUCUCGAACUUCCCGCGAACGGCUCGCCGCGGUUCGCCACGAACCGUUCACGACGAACUCCGGUCAGCUGACACAUCCCGGCCAAUCUCCAGCAGACCCUCCCUCCCAGAACCUCCCACCUCCUGGACAGCAUGUUGAACGGUUCGCGACAUCACUAGUCCAGACCCCUAAAUUACUUUAGGUUGCUGUGAAGCUUUAUGUACAAAGAGUGUGUCCUCUUUUUUUCAUUUUAGAAAAAGUGCAGAUUUCAAUAGAAAUUGAGACUUUUAGAAAUUAACUUUGUUACACCUCCCUGGCUUUUCAAGCAGACAACAGGUCCUGUUACUUCCUGGUUUUGGAUAGCUUGUUUGCACUGAACUUAAGAGGCAGCAAUUGCACAGAGCACCCCCUUGCAAAGACUUCCCAUUGAGCUGCGUUGGGAGGUCUGUGAUUGGACAGCCAUAGAAAGUCUGGGCAGGGUUAGACUGGGAGGGCCGGCAAAGUCAGCAGGCAAGAAAUCUGCAGACCUGAUGCUAUAGGUUUUUGGUGAAAUCCUGAUAAAGAAACAAGGUACAGAAAUGUUUUACUGAGUUCAUGAUAAAGCAAUUGUGAGCUAAUCACAUUGAACUUCAAACAAUAUUUUACCUCCCACCCUUAGAAUGUUAACAUUCUGGAGGACCCAUACCUUUCUGUUGAUCAGCAAACGCAUCUUUACAAUCUAAUGGAAUGGCAUCUGUUUUUUGUUAAAUAUAUGUUCUAAGUUUAAGAAGUAGAUAUUGUUGAGAAAUGAAUCACAUAGAAUAUGGUGUAGGUUUCAAAGGGUAUUGUAGUCAUACAUUAGGGCAUAGAAAAUUGUAGUUUGUAGAAUCAAUAACGUGCUUUUCUUCGUAGAGUAAAUCUCGCUGGUUUUCAACUGAUCUCUGUACCAUUAUUAUAUGUGAAAAUAAUCCUCUGAGUAUGUUACAAGCAUGGCAUUUAAUAAAUCAAAGUAAAUAUAAAGUUUUGCAAAAAUAAAAUGUGUCAUUAUAAAAAGUCCAUUCUGAUCAAAAUAACACCAGGCUUAAACAAAAAGGUAUUAAAUUGCUAAUAGUUUUCCAAUUUGAACUGUAAAGAAACAGUAAAAAUUUUGUUUGAAAAUCAAUAUCCUAUAAUAUAAAAAAUAUUUUAUAAAUGUGCAGAUUGUAACAAUCUCUAAAUAAAUUGAAAUCCUUCCUAUUCUAAGAGCAAACAUUAUUUUUCACUAUGAAUGGCAUUUGAAAAAAAAUAAAAAAAUAAUCAUAAUCGUAAGUCUUCUUAAUUAUGACAUUUAAUCAUAUCAUGUAAAAAUGGUUUUACAUAGAUCUAUACACUGUAAGCUCGUUUGAGCAGGGUCCUCUUCAACCUAUCGUUCCUAUAAGUUUUCUUGUAAUUGUCCUAUUUAUAGUUAAAUCCCCCGUCUCAUAAUAUUGUAAAGCACUACGGAAUCUGUUGGUGCUAUAUAAAUGGCAAUCAUAACUGGGGAGUGUUGCUCGCAGAUUAAUGGAACCAUAGCUACUUGUUGUGGUGUUUAGAUUGGCCCUUCAAUACCUGUAAUAAUAUAAAAUGUAAACGUUAUACAGCGCUUAGUGUUUGUCAUUUAUUCUCAAAAGAGAACCAAAUGAAUUACAGAUCAAACAAGGUUUGUUGUCUCUGACAAUAUAAUUGACGCUAACUACAGGGCGGGCCAAAAUUCUGAGUAGAAUUUGACAGGUAAAUAACUUAUUUGUUAGUAGUUCAAUUUUUUGUUGCAGGUACAUAUUAUAACUGAGUCUUAGGAGAUUCAUCAUGGGUAAUUUCACGAUGAAACAAUGAAUAAAAAUACAGAAUUUUAUUUUCAAAAGGCAGGUCCAUUAUUUUGACACAAAGAGAGAAUUUUCCUGAAAUGUAGUUUUAACAGAAUGGGACUAUUGCCCAUACAGCCACGGCCACAAUGCACCUCCUGAGACAACUGUUUGGCGAGCGGCUAAGUUCAAGAAAUUUCCAGAUUAAUUGGCCGCCUUGUUCGCCCAAGCUUUCAUUUCCCGAAUACUUCCUAUGAGGAUAUCUGAAGGAGCGGGUGUACGUGAACAAACUGCAUACACAUGUGCAGCUCAAGGAGAAUAUUUGUGCAAAAAAACUAAAGCGCUAGAGCCUUAAGCAUUAACUAAUGUUAUAAACAAUGCAAUUGAAAGAGCCCAACUUUGCAAGGCAGCAAAUGGAGCUAAUUUAAAGCAUGGCAUCUUCCGUACCUAGUCAAACACAUUUCGAAAUGUGAAGCAAUCCUUGUAUGUAAUAUCAUGGCAAUCAUUUCAUUAAAAAAAGUUAUUGACUCCUCAUACCCUGCUCUGAAUUUUAGCCCACCCUGUAUAAAUCUAGCACAUGUUUAUUGAUCAAUAAAGUAAUAAAAUAUAAAUAAUAAAAUUAUAGGGGAAAUAACUAGCUGUGUCUUAUAAUUGAUUUUUUAGAUUAUUUGUAAUACUGUAGAUCCAAUGAUUAAUUUUAACUUCUAGAGGUCGAGUUGAUUAACCCAUUUGUAUUCUACUUGCAAUUAGCUGUCUUUUAAAUAUGGCAUUCCCAUUGGAUUCCCAUUGGAUUCUACUCUAUCCCACUUACCUUCGAGCUUUUCUGUUUGGUUCCAUGAUAUGCAUGGAAAUGUGUUGCUAAGGUCAUUUACUUGUUUUAAUGGAUCUACAAUGUUCUCUAAAUCUCACCAUAAAUACUUUAAAUACUUCCCCUAAAUUAUUAAACUGACAUUUGUAUAUAAGUAGGUAGACUAUAUAAAUACUAUUGCAGGUUAUUUUAUGUGAUAUUCCACAUGUUGGUUCUAAAAUGAUUAAAAUGUACCAAUACCAUACACAAAUCACCCAAAAUCCCUCCCAACAAUUUAGCCACCUUAGGAGUCCAGCAACAAAAUAGAAAUUUUUAUUGGUAUGUGACCCACUACAUUGUAAUAUAUAGUACAUGCUUUUUGCAGUUUAGUGAGGGCAAAAUAUUUUUUAAUCUUAUCAACUCAUCCUUGACCUCACUAGCUUCCAAACUCCUUUCUAUUACCUCCUCCCUUGGCCUAUCACAGUGAGCUAAUAUUCCCAAACAUGUAGCUGGCAGUACCCUCAAUCUUAUUUUUUCCAAUGCAUGUACUAUCGCCCCUCAACUCAGAAGAAACCUGAAUUCUAUUGACCUCCAGUAACUCUCAGCUAAUGUCCAUUCCAAACUCUCAUCCAACUCUACCUUCUCAUGUCCCUCUCUGGCUAUCUCCUCAUAGAAUGCAACCCUCACCUCUGCCCUGAAUGGUUCAGCCCUACUCCAAACACGCACCUCAAGUAAGACGAGCCUCCAACCGUGGCACACUAAGUCAACCUGCUACCUACAGAGAGAUUCCCGUUCAGUUGAAUUCUGCUGAAGGAAGUCCUGCACUUUGUCAACCUUCCUCUAUUAUAAGUUUGUGUUCAUAGAGCACAGCCCUCACCCUUGCUAAACAAUCCUACUUUUCCUCUCUCGUUAGUUAAUGCUCACGCAAUCCCAGGGUCUCUUGAACUCGCUCCUUCGCCCACCUCAAGCCACCGCCCAAACUAACCUUUCAGCCAAUAGCCGUGCAUGCUACGUUAUUGACAACAUUGAACAGCUAAGGAAAUAAUUCUCCCUCCUUUGCUCCUCUCUCUCGCAACCACACCAAGAGCAUACAUUUCCUACCCUUCAGGCCUUCUUCCCAGCUAGAGAACAGAGGGUGGCUGCGCUUCUCCUCUCCUCUCAUCAUACCACCUGUCCACUUGAUUCCAUCCCUUUCCACUUUAUCAUAUCUCUCCCCCUUUGUCUUGUACCAUCCUUAACACACAUCCUCAACUGAUUUUUUUCAUUUGAUAUUGUUCCUGCUCUCCUUAAGCAUGCUACUGUUGUACCCAUCCUAAAAAAGCCAUCCCUAGAUCCAUCUUCUCCUUCCAGCUAUUGUCCCAUAUCAGUGCUUCCUUUUUCCUCAAAGCUCCUAGAAAGACAUCUUUACUCGUAUGACUCACUUCCUAAAUUCCAACUCCCUCCCCGAUCCUCUUCAAUCUGACUUCCACCCCCUCCAUUUUACUGAAACUGCUCUUCUUAAAGUUACAAAUGAUCUAAUCACAGCAAAAUCCAAAGGGCACUACUCCAUACUAAUUCUUCUUGACCUCUCUGCUGCCUUUGAUGCUGUUGAUCAUGUCCUUUCGGGUUCUCCUCCUAUCUUUUCCAAUGUUUGUUCAGUAUCUACUUUUGCAAUGACACCUCCUCUUGUCGUGCUGUCUCAGUUGAAGUCCCCCAAGGAUCUGUUCUUGGUCCCCUUCUGUUUUCUUUUUGUACUGCCUCACUUGGCAAACUCAUUAAAUCCUUUGGAUUCCGCUACCAUCUGUAUGCUGAUGACACCCAGAUCCCCUGAUCUCUCCCCUAUGGUCCUACAACAUGUCAUUGCUUGCCUUUCUUCAAUCUCUGAUUGGAUGUCAUCCCGCUUUCUAAAACUCAAUCUCUCUAAAACUGAGCUUCUUAUUUUUCCUCCUCAUAAUGCUGAUGCUCCUCCUUCACUUUCCCUGCAAGUUAAUGGUACUUGCAUCAGUCUGUCCUUGCAAGCUUGUUGUCUUGGUGUAAUCUUUGAUCCUGGCCUCAACUUUGCGCCUCAUAUCCAGUAUGUUGCUAAAACCUGUUGAUUCCACCUUAAAACAUUGCCCAUUUCUGCCCCUUUCUCACGCUAGAUGCUGCCAAGGAGCUUGUUCAUGCUCUAGAAAUCUCUUGCAUGGAUUACUUUAAUUCUCUCCUAGUUGGUCUCCCCAGAAGCAGAACAGCCCCGCUACAAUCUGUGAUGAAUGCUGCCACCAGGCUGAUCUUUUUUACCCGUCUCUCCUCCAAUACCUCUCCCUCUGUCGAUCCUUACACAGACUUCCUGUAUCCUAUAGGUGUCAAUUCAAAAUACUAACCCUUACCUAGAAAGUUUUAAACAACUCUAGCCCCUGUUACAUUUCACACUCCAAUCUCACUUCCAGUUCUGCUACUUUUCCAUCUUGUUUGGUGGCUGUCACCCUUACUGCCCUAUUAUGUUUUUGUACCCCACCUCAGCUAGACUGUAAGCUUGUUUGAGCAGGGUCCUUAUCUACCUAUUGUUCCUGUGUCACUGUUAUUUAUUGUAAAUUCUCCCAUCCCCGUUCAUAAUAUUGUUAAGCGCUACGAAACUAGUUGGCGCUAUAUAAAUACCAAUAAUAAUAAUUACUUCUCCCACACUAAGCACCCAGUUGCCCCAGUUUGACUUUGAUAAAUAUGGCUACUUGGUUUUGUCACACUGUUUAAAUUUGUAUAUGAGCUCAUUAUACAUUAACUUUUCUUACACUUUGAGCAUACUAAAUGUGCAAUUGUAUCAUUGAAUCAGGCCUUUCUGGAUACAAAAGUACCCAGAAAAGAUUAUUUCAUGUGUUGCCAAAUCACCUCCCCCUAGAGUUAUACAAAGAAUAUUUUGGAUAAAAUUCUUCACUAAGAUUUCAAGACAAAGAUGUCAAGCUUGGCACGCAAAUGACAUGUUUUCAGAACUUUUAUUAUGCAUAAUGUGACAUAUUGUGGUAGAAUCUCAUUUAAUUUUGUUAUUUUAUGUAUUUUAUACACAAGGAGAAAAUGCACGGUUUAGAUUUCUUGCUAUAUGUUUUCCAAUUUGUAUGGAGCAAAAAGCGUAAAUGGUAAAUCCAAUCUAACAGCCAAUGUUUUUUUUCUCAUUAAUCUGAAAUCACUUUGGGAACAAUUCAAGCCCAGAUUUUAACAACAAAAACUCUGGCCAUCUGGAUACAACUUGAUUGAAUCCCAACACGUCAUUGAGAAUAUCGGCAAACUCACCAGUUGUUUAGCCCUAUAACGGCCUGGGUGGAUUAUGAACUGGUUGGUGCCAAGUGGCACUGUGACAAGGGGAAUGAUAUAAUAUGUGAAUGUAGAAAUAUGUCACUUACAAUUAAGUUUGCCUCAUGGCCUAUUGCAAAGUCCUCCAUCAAGAAAAUGUCUGCAUUUUGUGCCAACAAUGUUGAAAAUACCAUACGAAUUAUAGAACAUCUCUUUCUUUAUAUAUAUAUAAGGAUGGGGGAACUAGGGAGAAGACGUGGAUGAGAGGAAUAGAGAAAAGGAGAGAAUGAUAUAAGAGAAAUUUGCUGGAUUAGGAUGGCAUGAGCAGAGAGGAGGGUGUGUGGGUAAACCAUGAAAAGAACCAUAGCAUUCUUUGAAUGCUUUGACAAUGUCUGACAUAAGAUGUACUCUUUGCCUUGUUUGUCUUUAAUUUUGUAUAUUUAAAAAUGUUGUGACCUCUGUUUAAGGGCUUUAGCUAAAAUAUUUCAUUUUCCAUUACCAUGUGUUGGUGUUGAGUCAGUAAUAUGUUUUUUUUUUUUUUAACUUAAUGGCCUAGCAAUUGAGAGAGUUCAGUUCUCAAUAUGGUCAGUUGUCUUCAAAGGUCUAUGCACUGGUCUAUUUUAUGUCAUGUUUCUUGGUCAUGAAUGCUAGCAAGAAGAGAUACUACUUUCUUUUCUCUGUCUUUCUUAAUCUUGAAGCCCAACUGUAUAAAGAAACCCCUUAGUACACAUUUAUGUGUUUCCCAUGUAUUUAAAGGUGAGGUAUCGGAGGCUGGAAUAUCAUGGAAGAAAUUUUUUAUUGUUUCUUUAUCUUGUCGUUUGUGAUCUGGAGCAUGAUAAAUUGUAUCAUUAAGCUUCCAGUUCCACACAAUUUUUGCGGGAUAUUGUAGGUAGGAGUAAGAUGACAGAUACAGGGGCAUGAUCAGUUCAUGUUAUAAGACCAAUUUGUGACUUUUGUAGUAGGUAGAGGAAUCUAUGGUUAAUAAAAACGGUGCCUAAUCUGGAGUACAAAUUCCUGGGAUAAGAUAAAAAAUUUAAAAUUAUUUUUAUUCAGCACUUUCCAGCAGUCUACUAAUUGGUGCCAGUGAAUACUUUUUAAGCACAUUUGUUUGGGGGCAUAAGCAGCUGGGAUCAAGAUCAUAUUGUCUCGUUAGCUUUUUCUUGGUGAUGUUGAAAUUGCCUCCACAUAAUGUAAUGGCAUUAGCAAAAUGUUGACAGUAUUUUCUUUAUAAAGAAGCCUUGCUUAGUGUUGGGGACAUAUAUGUUUGCAAAUGUGUAGUCUCAGGAGCAAAUCUUUUAAAUGAUGAACAAAAAUCUGCCGUGGGGAUCAUUCACCCGGUCAUACAGCAUCAAUGCUCUGUGAGAUGCAAAUAAAAUUUCAACCCCUCUUUCACUGCCCCCUUCCUAGUCACUAAAAUAGCCUAUUUUAGCAGUGUGCACUCCUUGAGGGUAAAUGGAUUUCCUGUAACAUUAAGAUCUCUGCACCCAUUCUCUUUAAAUAUGACAGAAGUUUACGUGUCCUCUCUGAUAUAUUAAGCACCCAGACAUUAAGGGAUAUAUUUAUUAGCUGUCAUAAUAUGUGUAAUUUUUGGGAUUACUUAUCAGAAGCAUUGUCUUUAUUUGUAGUGAGGUCUUGUGAAUGCAGUCAUUGAAUCUUGAGAACAAUAUUAUAAACAAUAAAAAAUAAAAACAUAUUUAACUGAAGAUAACGUUGGGAGAAAUUAGAUUUAGUAAAUUAGAUUUAGAGAGAUUGGUGUCAAUUCCAGGAGUAGAGGACUGGAGUCAAAGACCCUGAGAAUAAGAAAUUCAUGACACUGUCCCAUGGAAGGGGGGUAACCUGGUGCCAUAGUAUAAAAAAAUGAAUCUAUAUAGAAUGAAAUGACCUCAUGAGUAGUCAAUAUUAAAUGAGCUAGUUAUGUAGCUUAUCUUCCACUUUCUAUGAAAUAUUUUGGGGUGGUAUCUUACUAGGGUUCACAUUUCUCAUGUGUAAUUAAUGUAUAUCACAACUAGAAAAGUCACAAUAAAGCUUGAAUUGUAUAUAUUCAAUGAUGUUGUGAAGACCGUAAACCAUGACAUUUUAAUUGCAUGCUAGUAUAAUAAAUAAGCCCAAGAAAAAAAUAAACUAUAAUUAUUUUUCCCCUUUAAAUUAUCAAAUGUAGCAGGUGUAUGUCUGCCAACUUUACUUUAACUGGGUAAAUAAUAUUAAUAAUGUUGGUUGGAAAAAUAAGCUGGCACCCCGUUACUCCAAGCUCCCCACCACUAACAUCAUUUUGUAGCAUAUUAUUAAGUCAGUGACUACACUUUGUCUGAACAUUAACUAAUAGAUAAUUCUAUAUGAACAAUGAGCUGUUAAACUUACCCAGAAUGAGAUGGGCUAAGAUAAAUCCAGUUGAGUGCCAUAAGCGAUUUGGGCAAUGGACAGGUCUUAUCGUGGAUAGAAAAAGGUAAAGAUAACAAGAAAAUGUAAAAGGUUAAAGGUAGAAAAGCUAAAAGAGUAAAAAUCUCAGAGUUCAGGUCCAGUCUACUCUUGUAGGGUGGUCAUCUUUCCUUGCAUUAGGUGUCGAUCUCUGAGGUGCUUUAUAAUUCUUAGUGGGCAAUUGCCAUCUGUGCCUCUGUGGUUAUCAGGGUGUUGCCAGGAUAUUAAGGUCUCCAUACCAGUUUUUUAAUGGUGACGUCUUGUUGACGCAUAGCUUGAAUAAAGAUAGGAAUGUUCUCUGAUGUGGUGAUCCCAGAGGUAACUUUGUUGUGUGAAGGGAUGAGGGAAAAGGUACUUCAUCUGUUUCCCCAAUGGUACUUGAUUUGUUUUAAUCAGAGUUGUCCAGUUAUAGGUGCCAGAGCUCUUCUUCUUUGGAUAGUGGUCCAUGAAAGAUCCUGGAAUAAUAAAAAUUUGUGGGACCAUGGAGCGUAGUACUAGAGAGUCACGUGCUUUCCUUAAAAUAGGAUAGUUUAGAGAAAGUCGUAUAUGCAGCAUAUGAUAUCGCGAGGUGUAUCCCCAUCCCUGUUUUAAGGUUUUAAGGUCCCAUGGAACCAGUCAAAUUUAAUAAAUGUAUUUUGUGGCACUCCAGGAUUGAGUAAAAAGGAAGUCAGGACCAGAUUGCUAUCUUCAGGCCCACUUGUGGGUUCAGGAAUUCCCUAUACUAUAUUAUUGCUGCUCCCUUACUUGUGAGUUUAAUGCUGAAAUUUGGGACUCCUGUUUCUCCAUUCGGUCCUCCAGGCCUUGCACCCAUGCUCUGAAGGCCUUCAGGUUGGAGCCCAGUUUUGUGAUCUAUGAUUAUAUGAACUUAUUCAGAGUAGUGAGCAUAGGUGCGACAUCUUCUUUUGAAAGUAGUUUGUUUACAAGCACUUUUAGCUCAAUGUCAGGUAGUGUGUAAAUAUCAGUUGGUGACUUGCGAUGCCACAUGGGAAGGGACACAAGACUUUAUAUUGGAUCUGGAGGCCUCUGGAUCUCCACUGGCUUCAUCACCAAAAUAUUUACUAAGAAGUUGAAAGCUUGAUCCCCAAGGAUCCCUGAAUGAAUUUGUAAGUGCAGUUUGAAUAAACCUUCUAAAAUGCAAUAACAAAAUCUCACUACUGGGGCUUUAUUCUUCCUUUUAUAUUAUCAGGUCUGAACUGGUGGAAAUCAAAGAUUUUAUAUGAUUCCACAAGUGCACGAAAAGUGCUGUUUUCAACAUUUGAGGUGAUUUCGGAGAUAUAUCUUCACCUUGAUACUACAAAAAAUAAUGCUGCCCAUAAUGAGAGGCUGUGAUAUACCUUUUGAGUUUUGUCUUCCAUCUAGAGCAUUUCAUAAGUAGUUGGUGUCUAUUUUAAUGGUUAAUACCCUAUUAUUAUUAAAUUAUGUUUUUUCAGUAUCACCCGUUUUGUUGGUUUCCUUUAUAAUAUAUGCAUAUUUUGGGUAGUGCUUCCGAGUUUCAUAUAUGUUUUUUUGGGAGCCAAGGUCAAUUCCUUGGGUUUUGCAUCCCUCCCUGUCCAGGGCUAUUUAACCUUUCACUGCAGAGAGCCCCAGAGGAUGGAUUUCACUGAAUACAUGGGUCAAUCUCAUAAGAGCAGACAUAAGGUUGCUAGAAUAGGACCUGCCGAAAAUGCGGUACAUUGACGUUGCGGCAGGCUUAUGCAAUGUAUGAUAAUUUACAGUAACUAAAUCCCCAUUAUUUUUACACUUUUUUAAAAAUUACAUUUUGUGAGCUUUGAAGCUGGUGUUUAGUGAGUAAGUGCGCUGGGUUCUGUAUUUAAUAUUUUUAGAAAGCAGUCCAAUGGUUUUAAGAUUUACAACUAGCUGGAUUGCCAUUAAAAUGUGUGCAUGCUGCGUUUCCCUUUUUUUUAUUUUAGAGGCUAUAUCGUGCUCUGCUGUCGUUCUUUAUGUCAGUGCGAAUUUGCUAAUGGAAGUGUAUUACACCAUGCCUGUCUCUGGAACAGCUGAGCUAAUGCUGCAGGCAUUCUCUAAGGACUGGUCAGGGGAGGCAACACAUGGCCAGCAUUUUUCCAUUUCUCAAGCACUAUUUGCACACACACAUGCAUAUAUACUAACAUACACACACACACACACAGAUACACCAUGUAUUUACACUGAAAAAAAUGUCCAAAUUACAGGAAGCUGUGGAAGUUUGUACAAUGACCCUCAAAUUAAAGAACAACAUACGAUGCUACAUAUGAAACAACUGGCAUGUGUGAGUCUGGUCUUUCAUAUUUUUCAAUUUCGCAUUUAAAAUGUUAACGCUUUAGUGCCUGAUGGAUGCUCAAUCUGCUAUGCAAUCUUCCUCAACCCUUACUCCUUCAACAGAUAUAAAAGUAUAUAAAUAUAAUGGAACAAAACACUUGUGCUAUAUACAAGGAUAAAUCUCCAGAUGGUUCUGGCUAUUGAAAUUCAAAUUUAAUUACACCGUGGAUAAAUCAGAUGAAUCUAUAAUUUCUUCUAUCAUUUUUGUUUCAAAGAUUAUUAUUUUUUUUGUUUUUUUUUUAUAAACUGUAGCUGUCUGACAGCACAGGAAUGUCCAGGGCUAUCCAUCUGUUCACUACGAUUACUUUUUUAUUGACCAUAGUCUGACUGAGCAAGCUCUGAGAUUUUACAUAAUAAUACUGUCACUUGUGGGAGUGAUUUACUGAAGGAAAAUAACUAGACAGCUAAGAUCUAUACAGGAAAAAUGAUAAAAUAAACCUGAUAGAACAGGAUUAACUAUAAAGUGAUGUUAGGUAGAUGCCUAGCGCCAUGGGGUUAGACAAAGGCCCUGGAACAUGAAUUUGCAUGGCCCUACUAAACAUCCCUAUGUAACAAAUGAAGGACUGCCCAAAACUAGUAAGUUAAUCCUGUUAUGGGUAGCAACAUGGUAAAAACAGAAAUUAACAAAACAAAAACAACAAGAACAAGAGUCUACUGACCCAACUUCUGAAAAUGACAAUGGUGACAAUUUGGCCUCUGACGCACUCAUGUUGACUAUAAAGCAGGGAUCUCUAUCCCUUUGAUCGAUUAAGAGUUUGGGGAAUCUGUAAUUUUAUUGAAGCAGUUCCCAGAAAUUUAAGAACUUUGCUUAAACGAGAAUAUUAUAUAAAAAACUUUUGCAUAAUAAAACAAACAUAAAUAAAAUAAAAAGAAACAGUUUUGUAACUCUGUCCUGAUUUGCAGUAUACAAAUCUCUCUGUACAAAAUGGCAAGAUUUUCCAAUAGGAAGUAAAAUUAAUCAGAAUCUGAUUUGUAGGUUAUUUUUUUAUGAUGCCAUAGCUAUUUUUACUCUCUUAUGUUAUCAUAUAUACAGCUCAUUGUUGAAAUGUCUUUAAUAAAGAUAUUGGGAAAAAAGUAAAUGGGAGUCUCAUCUUUGAAUGAAUAGACUUCUUUCUCUGUAAGAAAUAAUGGCAAAUCAAUCAGACUAUGACUGCACUUUAUGGACUGUGUCUCCUGCUCACAUGAUAGGAAGCAAACUGUGGGAUGGAUUCUAUUGUAAGAGAUAAAUCUAACUCUGGUAACUAAAUGAAAGUUCUCUAUUGACUUCUCUGGAACAACUGCUAUUCAGUUACAAGAGAUAAGCUUAUCUCUUAUGAAAGAAUUUAGCUCUUAAUGAGAGUAAAAAAGUUCAGUUCUUUAGAGAAUCUUUUAAAAUGUGUGUAUAAUGCAAUGGGGGGCCUAGAAAGGGGAAAAAAAGAACCACAAAAGAUCUGUAUGUGUGUACACGACUAAAAGACAAAUCUAACUUUCAAGAGUAAAAAAAUUAUAAAAAAAUAGAACCUGUACCCAUAAAAAACUAAAUGCUAAACUAAACUAAUGUAGAACAAGGAGGGGAAAACUUAAUGGAUAAGUAUGUGGCGGUAUACCCUCCUGAAGAUGGGUAGAUGAGUUGUGAUCAGCUCCAGAUUGAGUAUAGCUGCGGAGUAGUGAUUAUAGUUACUGUCGAAGGGUAACCAUAGUAUCACCCAAACACUAGUCGAGACUGAGUGAAGGGUGAAGUAGAUCUGUUUAUUCCCAGCCAAAUGGCUCACAUUUAUACAGAUUCCGGUACAGUAGACACUCACCAAAACACGCCCAUAAACACACCCACAAAAUUCCUUGUCAUCGUGACUCAGCAAAAACAGUAGCACAUAUGAAAAACCAUAAAAACACAUAUUUCCCACAUAGGAACCCCCACAGUCUAUACAUCCCCGGAUAGACUGGAUCUGAGCCCCCAACAUAUCCGAAAAGCACUCAGAUCCCAUGAAAAGAGCCCUAACGCCACCGUGUGGAAGUUCUGACUGGCCGCACACAUGGUCCUAUGCUCAAAACAGUUCAGGGUAUUUUGUGCUUUUGGCCGGUCAACUUUGGAAGUUCCAUGUGAAAGAAAUACUGAAUGCAUACUCUGGCUUCUUGGUAGAGCUUGUUCGUAUGAACCAUACGAACAAACCUACUGAAUGGCACUCUCCUGAUGUAUGUGGGGAAGGAGCAGGCAUUUAAGUUCAGCAGUGUUCGGGAGUUUUAGUGUCCGAUUUUAGUUCCACGCGAUCGACGCCCAAACACCGCUGUCUGCAUUCCUGCGAAUAAGAUUGCCACCGCACAAUUAUAAUCCACACUGAUAGAACUGUCAGGAGAGAUUAACAAGGUCAAUAAGCUCAGAGGCGGUCCACAGUUCAUAGGUUAGUUCAGUUCCCGAAGAGUCCAAGGGAAUCCCACAAACCCAGUCUUUCAAUAGCCUUUUAGCAUGGCCCAUAGUCCUGAGGCAGGAGGCUAGCAAGCAGGCUCCUCCAGGAGCUCGUGGCAAGGGCAAAUUCACCACAAAGUAUAAGUGUUUAUUUUUGGGAUCUAUAUAAUGCAGAUGCCUGAGUUUAACAAGUUAACUGUAUUUACUGUUAAAUGAAAACAUUUACUAAUUAUUCUGAUCCUAUUAGAAAGGAUUGUGAAAAAAGAAAACAUAUAUAAUCUUUGGUUCAAAUGAUGUAAGUGUAUGGCUUUUACAUUUUCCAGAUAUCUUUGAACAAUAUUCUAUAAGCAAAAUAUACUAUUCAUUAUAAAAUAAAUAUACUAUUUAUUAUAAAGCUACAAACACUAUCCUAUAAGUAAAUGUUGCACAUUUUUUUCCAAGCAAAGAAUUCGGUACCAAAUCGGUUAAUAUACAAUUAAAUGUACUGAGACAUGAGAAACGCUGCUGCAGAAUUUUGCAUUGAUGAGAUUGGAAGAUAUUGAUCUAAAUGUACAAGUCAUUUUUUUCCAAGUAUCAAUAAAAUUUAGAGAUGUUUCAAUGUCGAAUCUACAAAUGAAACUACUAGAUAUGCUGUCUGCCAGUAAUGGUUAGUCCAUACUAAUGAAGCAUUUAAAUCAGAAACAUUUGACAAAGAAAGGUUAGCGCUAUGUUACUGAUGUGAAUCUACAAUCUAAUAUGUCAUACAUACGUUGCACUGACAAGAUCUCCAGCAAAUGCAACCAUUAGAAGAUAUUUAUUUGAAACUUUCUACUCACCUCUAAUGUUGCAGCAGUGAAUAGGAACUCAUAUACCCACCUGUAAUAGUCUCACAGUGCCUACUGAGUGGCAUGGGAGUGCCACACACAGGAUUGGGGACAGAAAAAUUGUGCGCAACCAGUUUGGUGGUCGUACUUAUAGUGGUUAACUCUUCUGCGAGCAGCAUAGAGUAAGACUAUAAACUAAAUAUAGCAAUUAAAACAUUGCUUUAUUUUCUAGCAGUUUGUCUAGCACAGUCUAUAGAUGUGUUAUCACGUUGCAAUAAAUAAACAUGAAAUGAAAAUAUGUAAUAAAACUGUUACUGAUAUAUUAGAAGAAUUUGCUAAUAUAUCAGCAUUCAGGGAAUGUUCUUAGGAAGCAAACACUAUUGUUCCUACUAUAGUGAGUAGCCAAUCUAGAAUUAGCGGACCUUUCUGGCAACUUACCGUAGUUAUGCACCUGAAAAUUCUGCUGGGUAUAUGGUAAUAUGGUAAUCCUGAACUCAGCAAUCAGUUCUGGAAUUUGCUUUUGGCGUGGUUAUAUCACCAUGCUACUCUGCCGCAGGUCGAAACUGACGUCACGGCAGCUCAACUCAGCAACUCUCUAAGAUAGCCAUUAUUACUUAAAAUGGCACCAUAUCAACUUCAUCAGAUUUCCGUUGUUAUGGUACCAUGAGGUCACAGGACACUUUCCUACCUGAAGAAGUUAAGCUGUUCUGGAAUGGUUUAACCCCAAAGAUUGCCUCGAGCGCCAGAUCCCUAAUUUCCCAGCAGCAUUGGCUUUCAGGAAACUCUAAGUAUCGCAGGGCAUGGUCGCAACUGAUUGGCUAGGGCUGUCAGCUGGGUAAAUCAGAGAUCUGGUGUUUGAGACAACCUUUAGAGUUCAGCUGCUGGUUUAACCUCUUCAAGAAAGAAAGUGCCAGGCGACAUCGUGGCAUCAUUUUAAUGAAGUUGUUAUGGUGCCCAUAAUAUUCCUUUAAGAUUUCAGAAAACAGAUGGAUUGCACUAACAUGGCACCUAUUGUUAAUAUUGAUAUCCAGUAUUCUUUUUGUAGGGUGACCCAGGAAUGACACAAUUACAUUUUCUGUGGUAUUGACACAGUGUCGUAUUAAUGAUCAUAUCUGGUUAUAGAUUCACAAAUUGUUCCACUUAACGUAGAGCUUAUGUUGUGUUUAUUCCAUUUUCUGUAAAUUUAUUCUCACAAUUUCCCUUUAUUUCACAUUCUUUUCUUGUAUUGUGUGCUGAGCUCAUACAUAAAUACUUUAUGGCUUAUUUUAUAGAUAUGUAUUUAUUAAGUAAUAAUGCAUUUCGUUUACCUUCAGUUGAUUCUAAUCCUCAAUCAUCAUAUUCGUUUUGAUUUAUUUCUUAUGGCUAGAUUGCAGCAUUUACCGCUGCAAAAUAAAUAUUCUAAAACAUUAAUAUUUAAUUUUAUUUUCAUUCUGUUACAGUGAACACGAGCAGAAUGUUUUCAAUAACACCCUCCAGUGAUAUAGCUGGGGUCCACAACAUGCAAUCAGUGGGCAUGCUAAAUUAUUCUAGAGACAAAACAAAAUGUGGACAUGUCGCAGAACAACAAAGACUGAAUAAAAGGUACAAUAAAUGAAUAAAAAUAGCCAUGUUUAUCAUUCGGUAAUUAAAUCAUUUCCCACAAUUAAGUUAGAACUAGAUUUAAAAAUGACCUGUAAGUUGUUCUAGAAAAUUUGCAUGCAAAUAUGUACAUUAAUAAAAUGAGAAGUCUUCAAUAUUGUGAUAUCACGAUGAGGCGAAUCCAUGAAUUUUCUUUGUAGCAGCUGAUUUACAUAUGAGACUGCAUAUUACAACGGAACCAACUGACACGUCAGAGUAUGUUCUUUAACUUUCUAUACAUUUCAUUGCACUUUUGCUGGUACAGUGUAUUGACAUUAUUUUGUUGCUUAAGUGCAGAGAUCCACAGUUUAGAUGGUAAGAUCCCUUUAAGAGAAGCUUGUUUUAUUUUGACAAAGAACACAAUUAAAACAUAUAUAUUACUAAGGUUUUAGCAUAGCAAUGAAAAACAAAACAGCAGGAAUAUUAUAUUUUCUGUGCUCUUGAAAGUAAUGUGUAACAGGUUUUUUUUUUUUACUUAGGACUGAAUCUGGACAAUGUUUGACAAAAUUUGGUUAAAAUAAGAGAAUGCCAACUGGGUUUCCAAUUUUCAUCUUUGCCAAAAGCAAAUCUGGUUAAAAUUGAGUUAUUUCAAAGGAAAAUCAGUUUAAAAUUUAGUAGCUUUCAUAUGCAAAUGCUUUUUAAAGGGUCCUUUGUCGUCGACAGACAGACCACUAGGGCUAAGGCAGGGCACUGUUAAUCAUUCCAAUACAUACAAGCUAAGGGGCUGGCUGUAAUAGGUUAAAAGCAGUCAGCUGACAAUCUCAUCCAAUCACCACCACCCUUUGUUGCUCAAGCUAUUGUUUCAUCGUUAGCCUGAGCAGUACAAAGGAGAAGGCUUAUGAUGAGAUAACAUUGGAGGUCUACUCUAUACAUAUACAUAUAUAUAUAACUCAGGUUAUUGAGAUUUUAACAAGAACAAAAUGGGUCACGCAGGUCCUAACAAAGUCAGGGCCCUAUCACAUCUAGGAACUAUCACUUGGGUUUUGCAACAAAAUGAUAAACUAAAAGUAAAUAAGCUGGCAAACGAUGCUAAACAUAAUAGCUUAUUAAAGGUCUAAGGCCAUGAGCAUUGGUUCAGAUCGUGAUGCCUCUAUGGUAUCAAGGUGCACCGGCUAUGGCUGCUUCUGCAUUCCCAGGUUGGUUGCCUGGCUGUGUCGUUGAGGCUGUCAUCAGAGUCGGGAGUCCCAGUGCUGCCAUUAGUGCUAGGCCCUCUGAGUGAUCCGUGGCCUUGUAGUGCUUGUCAUCUUUGGUAAUCCAUAGGGUCCCUGGAGUCGACCACUUGUAGGCAAUGCCAGCUGCUUGGAGUGGUUUAGUUAGUGGCUGCACUUGUUUGCGCCAGAGUAGUCCUGGAAAAAGUCCUGAAAAAAGUCCUGACAGUCCUCGAACUCUAAAGGAGUCUUUCCUUGUAGCGCUGCUAAGAGUCCUAAUUUGUCUGACAUGGAUUGGCAACGUAGUAUAAUGUCUCGCAGAGCUGCGUUGGGUGCUUGUGGGGGAUUUAGCAAUUUUAUAGACUCCGUCCAAUAGGAAGGUUUUGGCUUGUCUGGCUGGUAGUAGUACGGUCACAAGGCGCCUGAUGAAGUGUGGUAAUUCUUCUAGCAGCAUGAAUUUCUGUACCCCUCUGAUUUUGACGUUUUUGCCUCUCCCCCUGUCAUCCAGUAGGUUGACUUGUCUGGACGGGGUUGUCUGUGUGGUGUGUAGUUGUUGUACCUUCUCCCCCAGCGCUUGUAGGCCUUGUUUGAGGCUCUCAACUUUGUUCUCUGUUGCUUGUGUAUGUGCUGUCACUGCUUGUACAUCAACUUGUAUCACUGCCAAAUCAGCCUUCCACAUUUGCCUGAGGUUCUGCUGUAGGCCUGUCCGCAUGGCCUGUAUGUCACUCUUUGAAAGUUGGGCACUGUCCUCUGUUACCCGUGAAGGAGCUGGGUGACGGGGACUGAGUGAUGGGCUGUCUGGUGGUUCCCCUUCCUCUGAGGGCAGUGGGGAGGCGUCGUGGUGGGAACGUGGUCCGCGCUGCGCCUGGGGCCUGCAGCAUUUGGCCUAUGUCGCACUGUGGUUUUGGGAUGUGUGUUAGCGGUUUCUGAGACCUGCGCCCCAUCUCACCUGUGUUUGGUAGGCUGUGAUACCAGUCUAAAACCAAAAGAAGAGGUACAGUUUGUGGCACUAGAGAACAGCUGCUAGAACACACUAGUGGGGUCUAAUCACAAAAAUCCCACAGAAACCAAAACACAACAAUACAAAGAAGCUCAUAUAAUAGAUUCACAAAGAUACAGGGAGUGCAGAAUUAUUAGGCAAAUGAGUAUUUUGACCACAUCAUCCUCUUUAUGCAUGUUGUCUUACUCCAAGCUGUAUAGGCUCGAAAGCCUACUACCAAUUAAGCAUAUUAGGUGAUGUGCAUCUCUGUAAUGAGAAGGGGUGUGGUCUAAUGACAUCAACACCCUAUAUCAGGUGUGCAUAAUUAUUAGGCAACUUCCUUUCCUUUGGCAAAAUGGGUCAAAAGAAGGACUUGACAGGCUCAGAAAAGUCAAAAAUAGUGAGAUAUCUUGCAGAGGGAUGCAGCACUCUUAAAAUUGCAAAGCUUCUGAAGCGUGAUCAUCGAACAAUCAAGCGUUUCAUUCAAAAUAGUCAACAGGGUCGCAAGAAGCGUGUGGAAAAACCAAGGCGCAAAAUAACUGCCCAUGAACUGAGAAAAGUCAAGCGUGCAGCUGCCACGAUGCCACUUGCCACCAGUUUGGCCAUAUUUCAGAGCUGCAACAUCACUGGAGUGCCCAAAAGCACAAGGUGUGCAAUACUCAGAGACAUGGCCAAGGUAAGAAAGGCUGAAAGACGACCACCACUGAACAAGACACACAAGCUGAAACGUCAAGACUGGGCCAAGAAAUAUCUCAAGACUGAUUUUUCUAAGGUUUUAUGGACUGAUGAAAUGAGAGUGAGUCUUGAUGGGCCAGAUGGAUGGGCCCGUGGCUGGAUUGGUAAAGGGCAGAGAGCUCCAGUCCGACUCAGACGCCAGCAAGGUGGAGGUGGAGUACUGGUUUGGGCUGGUAUCAUCAAAGAUGAGCUUGUGGGGCCUUUUCGGGUUGAGGAUGGAGUCAAGCUCAACUCCCAGUCCUACUGCCAGUUCCUGGAAGACACCUUCUUCAAGCAGUGGUACAGGAAGAAGUCUGCAUCCUUCAAGAAAAACAUGAUUUUCAUGCAGGACAAUGCUCCAUCACACGCGUCCAAGUACUCCACAGCGUGGCUGGCAAGAAAGGGUAUAAAAGAAGAAAAUCUAAUGACAUGGCCUCCUUGUUCACCUGAUCUGAACCCCAUUGAGAACCUGUGGUCCAUCAUCAAAUGUGAGAUUUACAAGGAGGGAAAACAGUACACCUCUCUGAACAGUGUCUGGGAGGCUGUGGUUGCUGCUGCACGCAAUGUUGAUGGUGAACAGAUCAAAACACUGACAGAAUCCAUGGAUGGCAGGCUUUUGAGUGUCCUUGCAAAGAAAGGUGGCUAUAUUGGUCACUGAUUUGUUUUUGUUUUGUUUUUGAAUGUCAGAAAUGUAUAUUUGUGAAUGUUGAGAUGUUAUAUUGGUUUCACUGGUAAUAAUAAAUAAUUGAAAUGGGUAUAUAUUUGUUUUUUGUUAAGUUGCCUAAUAAUUAUGCACAGUAAUAGUCACCUGCACACACAGAUAUCCCCCUAACAUAGCUAAAACUAAAAACAAACUAAAAACUACUUCCAAAAAUAUUCAGCUUUGAUAUUAAUGAGUUUUUUGGGUUCAUUGAGAACAUGGUUGUUGUUCAAUAAUAAAAUUAAUCCUCAAAAAUACAACUUGCCUAAUAAUUCUGCACUCCCUGUAUAUAUCAGUGGUGCUUCCACUUUAGGUGAAUGUGUAAAUCAAAAUAAAAUUAAGGAUAAAUACCCCAAUAUAAUAGUUGUCAGUAGGUAUUAGCCCUGUACAUAAAAAACAGAAGAAUCAUAGCAUGAUACUGCAAUAGUGAGUAGAUCUAAUAUAGUAGUCUAUAUAGUCCAACUCACAUAUGGUGGAGCCUGUUACUACCUGAGCCAUUGGAGGUCUACUCUAUACAUAUACAUAUAUAUAUAUAUUUUGUAACUCAGGUUAUUGAGAUUUUAACAAGAACAAAAUGGGACACGCAGGUCCUAACAAAGUCAGGGCCCUAUCACAUCUAGGAACUAUCACUUGGGUUUUGCAACAAAAUGAUAAACUGAAAGUAAAUAAGCUGGCAAAUAAGCUGGAAAACUGGCUCAGGUAGUAUCACUUUAAGAAACGUUCUCAGGUGAAUUCCAAAAGGAUAAGGCUUGGCCCUCAAUAUAUAGGAGGAACAGGAUAGGCAGACACCAGUUAGAAGUAUAACAAUAGUAUCAUUUAUUAAAAAAUAUAUAAAAUCUUACAUUUAGAAUUCUGGGAUGCCAGCAAGGAGCACAACGCGUUUCGACGCUAAAAUACGUCUUCCUCAGGUGGUAUUUAUCCUUAAUUUUAUUUAAUUUUAAGGUGGAAGCACCACUUAUAUAUAUCUUUGUCAAUCUAUUAUAUGCGCUGCACACUUCUUUGUAUUGUUGUGAUACCAGUCUUCCAGGUCAGGUUGCCCCAGGGCCAGAUUCCCUCUGCUGUGGCUUGUUGCCGUUCGCCUGAGUGGUAGGUCUUGCUGCCUCGGCAUCGAGUUUUGGAGCCGGGCGUGAAAAAGAAUGGCAUUGGCAAUGUCGGCUGACUGCCCUGGAAUCAGCAUCGGUGUCCGUGACCAAAAUUGGUGCUGGAUACCCCCGAUGUGGUCGGAUUUGGGCUGUCUUUGCAGGAGCUCCGGGAAUGUGCAUCCGCUCGGUGUGGUGUCCAGUUCCACCCCCCUAGUAUUAAGAUAUUUAAGACUGGAUUAUCAUAUUCAAUACAGGAGAUAAUAUGCACCUAAACAAGUGGUUAGAUCUUUUUUUAGAAAUAGUCAAAGCACACUGCCAGAUUUGGAGAUGGCAUGUGAGUUAUGCAAAAGAGCAUAGUUUGCAAUUAUGCUCAAACAGUUAGCUUAUCGGUAGUAUUGUUGAGUUACAUUACUGGGUAAAAGGAACAUAAAGUGAUUCAGCUCUUUUUAAAUGAUUUAGAUUACAUAGAGAAGGAAAAUAGGAACUCAAAAGAUUGUUGGUCAAAAUAAGAUUCUAGCAAAGAUUAAUGUCAUAAUCGAGAAAAAAAUUGCGACAAAAUAAAAUGUAAAAACUUGAUUACAGUUAUCAUUUCAAUACUAAUGUAAUAAUAGAAUCAUAAUGAAACAAGAGAAAAUAAUAUGACAUAUCAACUACAUGUAAUAUAUAAAUAUAUAAAUACAUAUAUAUGCUAAUUUCAAAGAUAGACGCUUUUCAAAAGGUUUAGAAUUUGCACGUUGGUGGGUUUUCCAUUAUCAUGUACGAUUUAUCUCAGUUGAUGACUCAUCUAUUUACUACUGAUAUGAAAAAGAAAUAUCCGUAGUUUAUAAGCUACAGGAUGCAAAUAAAUAAAACUAUCUUCUGUAUUUUGAAAACAGGAUUCAUCAGAAUUUUUUUAUAGCAAAAUUAGAAAAUAAAUCACAUAUGUAUAUUCUGUAUAAUUAUAAUUGUAGAGCACCAGCGGGUGUUCUAGAGCGGUUACAAAUAGCAAUCAUGACAUAAGAGAUUGCUGCCCUAUAUUUGAAAAUAUUUGGAGUAUAAGACACGAACCUAUUGCAAUGCAAUUCAUCUUUUAAAUAGUGAAUCUAAUGUUCAGAAAAAUGUAGUAUUUAUUUACAUAUUUAUAGUACAAAGUGUUAUAGCGGUUAUGGUGCCUGGAGUGCUCUGGCACUCCUCAAUGGUAAGUAGCCAACUCUUUUUAGAACAGUAUGAUUUCUUAACUGGGGUCCACGAGGCACCUCUCGUUGCCUCUACUACUCUAGCCAGACAGCCAGAAGGUCUUCUUUAGGAGCUUCCGUUAGUUCUCCUGUGCUAAACCCGGCAGUGCAUUGUUAUAGCAUUGGCUGAGAGGGUGAGCUGAUCACUCCAAAUCUAUUAUAGUCACAGCUUGGCUACUUUAGCCUCAAUUGUCUAAUUGCAGGUUAGAAAAAGGCUGCAUUCCUCUCAAGUGUCCUAUUUAGGAAGGACAGACACUAUUUCAGGCCCAAAUCCCUCUGUACCUCUUUUCUAUCUUUAUGUUCCAUUUUUGCAAGAGCUCCAUGCUAUAGGUAUGUCUGAGUGUAUAACAGAGCUCCACAGCAAUAAUACCAACAGUAAUGUGUCUUUAAAGUACAAUAAAUGUGUUUCCAAAUUAGUCUGCACAGAACAGAUAAGAUGCAUUUUUCUUGUUCUGAAUUACAUUUUAGUUUUAUAAAUUAUUAUUAAAAGUCAUCUAUAAGUUUUCAGCACAAUCCCAUCCCUAGCCACACCUCUAUUCACACCCCUAAAUUUAAAGUGCCACUCUUUGUCCAUUUGAUAUAAUGUGAGGUAUGUUGAGGGUACGUGCAGUUGUAGUGUGUAAAUGUGCAAUAGAUGUUUUCCUAACUUACGAUAGGGUAGUUGCAGUCUCCAGCAGCAUUGACAUACCCGCACAAUUCUUACAAGCACUUUGAUUGGCUGCAGACUUCAAACAUGUACCCUGAUGACAUCAGAGGUUUUACCCUAGUCUGCUGCUCAGCCAAAGCUCAGUCAGGAGGAGAGGUAGGAGAAAGCCAAAGGAUUGACAUGAAUGAUUUCGUACCAGUGGUUUGUUUAUGCCUACAUAUCAGCAGACAGUCUCAACCAAUAAGCUAGCCUUGUACUGCCCGGCUUAGCUCACGAGAGCUAAUGGAAGCUUUAUCUUCAGAGAUCCUGGCUCUCCAGCAGACCUCAGAAAAGAAAUCUCAUCCACAAGAAUCCUCUGCGUCAAUUUGGAGUCUAUUUGUUGUUUAAGAGAGAGAAUUUACCAGACAGAGUCGAAUGUUACCAGACAGUAUGAAAAGCACCAAGCAUGACUUAAAAUAACUUUUUUCAUUGCUGUCGGUUUGUUUAAUUUGUCCUGUCUCAUAUAACUGUCAGAUAUUGUGGUUAGGAAAACUUGUAUUUUUAACUUAAUUUGUCAGCAAAUUGGAUAUUAUUAAGCAGCUGCUUCAUUAACUUUUUGUGGGCCUGCCUGUCAAGAAUUUUUGUCGUUUUUGCUACAAGUACAUUUUAAGGGUCCGUCAAUUCAAAACACGUGAAUUGUCCGUCCCACUAAGGACAUAUUUCUGACUAACUGAAUGCUCAACCUUCACUUCAGCACAAUCUGAUCAUAGUUUAUCGCACAAGAGAAAUAAUGAAUAACAUGAGAAAUUCGGGACCAUAGGCAUGCAUGGGGAUGGGGGGUGCUGGAUGUGCCUGGGCACACUCUAAUCCCCGCAACCCGCGCUGUGUGCCUCCAUGUGCUGGUGAGGGAGAUCAAAGACCGGUCCACAGGCAGGGCGGAGGCAGGAGAGGACUCUGGGAGCUCUAGCCAGCAGCUCCCUGGGGUUCCUCUCUGUAACGGAUCACCUGGCACCCCGACUGGGUACCUCCAUUGAAGGAUGCUCCUAGCGCUUCCUGAGGGCUCCAAGCACUCCAGCAGACACCUCCAGGCACUGGACGCUACUCAGUCCUGGGAACUCUGGAACCGAAUGGGGAAUUAGCUCUAGUCCUUACAAGGACUUUCCCCGUUGAAUCUCCUGCAAGCUGGAACAGCAGACACAGGAGCAAAUAUUCUUCCCUCCAAUAACUGGACGGCACAGUUUGGAGUGUAAUCAGGAACAGACUCAGCUGUGGUUUAAUUGCUUCUUUUAUACAGGUUUUUACACAAUGUUACCACCCACAUGGUUUUGUAGAACAGCUUAUCAAACACGUACAAUACAGUUAAACACUCCCAUUCAUUCCAGCAAAAUGCUCCCCUCUGCCUGUGAUAUGAUUACUGCACACAAUGGGUUAAUGUAAUUAUCACAGGCAGGAAAAUACAGUUUUUAUACAAUUCUUAUAACUCCUAAAAUAUACAUCUAAUCUCCAUACAUAUUAUUAAUCAGUAUACUUCAAAUACAAACAUACUCAAAAAUCAGACAAUUCCCUCCAGUGGUUUAAAAGUUAGUUGGAAGUCCCUUUUGACCGACCACAAGCAUGGCCUUCCUGCCCAAAAAAGUUCCAUAGAUUUGGGCUGUGCAGCUGGCUUAAGCAACUGUAGUAAACUCAAUUAGCUACAGGUAAAGAAAAUAUCACUGCAAGUCACAACUGCAACAAAACACAUUAAAAUACAUAACUAAUAUUCUAUAGAACUAAACCCCCACAUUUGACCUCUCCCCAGAUAGCUUGCAUCUGAGCGCUCAAUAUAGCCGAACAGCGCUUAGAUCCCACGAACGCAGUCAAAUCGCCAUGUGGUUAAACAAUAGCAAGGGCUGUUGAGACACCGAGGAGGGACAAAGCAGCCAGUUCCAACUGGUAUGGCAGUGUCCCUGGGACAACGCCCUGCUGGAGAACAAUGGGACAGGAAACGGGGGAGGGAAAGAGGCACACCUUCCCAUUGAUUCAAAGGGGCAAAAAAAGUGUCCCAAAAUCCAAUAAGCCCAAACAGACUUUUUAAAUGGCAAUACUUCCCAGGGGCCAUAGUCACAAGGCAAGAGGCUGGCAGGCAGGCCUUUGCAAAAACCAGUGGCGAGGUUCCUUUCGCCACACUCUCCCUGCAGGCUAGAGUUCACUCACCACUAGGACCACCAUAUCAGGGAUGGCAGCAAGGAUCCCCCCUCCUAUGCAAAAGGUAAGAAGGGAGGGGGCCGAUUUCUUAAUCUGUCCCCCUACCCCCACACACAAUCCCUCCAAACAAAUUCACACACACACACACACACAACACCCUUACAUACACACACAGCACCCUCACACACACGGCACCCUCACACACAUACAGCACACUAACAGAACCCUCACACACACACGGCACCCUCACACACACACAGUACUGUAUGUAUGUGUGUGUGUGUAUAUAUAUAUAUAUAUAUAUAUAUAUAUAUAUAAAAAAACAAAUAGAAAGCUUGGCACUCUCCUUACCAGGACUUGAUAUCCAACUGCCUGGGUGCAAUCCAAUUGCGUCCAAAUUGUAUUGUAUAUAAUAGAAAUCCUGGAUUUCUAUUACGGUAUAUAUAUAUAUAUAUAUAUAUACACACACACACACACACACACACAUACAUACAUAUACACGCGGCGUGUGUGUUUGUGCUUUAGGUUGCACACCCUUAUGCAAUAGGCUGCGCACGCCUAUGUUCGGUACAUAGUUAAGUAUUAUAUACAUUUUACAAUUUCUUAUUUAAAAUGUAUAACUAGCCCUUCAAUGUAAACAGUGUCAACAAGUUGAAUUGUUAAGCAAAACUGUAUUGCCGAGGUUAAAGUCCAAUACAGCGACACACUUUAUUUUAUAUAGUCAGUUCUUUUAAUGUGCUGCUCUGUAAGAUCAUUAACUAUGAAGAUAUCAUCACUUCUGCCUUCAGCCACAAUCAGUCAGGGUAUGCAAAUGAUUAUAGAAAGCCAAACACAAACUGUGCUGCCUUGAUUGUAACUGAUAUAUUCAUUAUCACUAAGUAUUAUGCAAAAUAUGGAUAUUUUGCCCCUCUGGCAGAUAGGGGGUGAUAUUUUUAGAGAUAAAAAUCUAUUUUACGUUUUCCUUUUCCUUUUAUGUUUACCAGCAUUCCCUCUAGAUUGCAAGCUUCAGUGUGCAAAACAAAUACUGGAUUAUAUUUCUAUGCCCCAUAGAACAUUGUAGAUGUAAGGGUCUCUAAGUAAUUAGGAGCUAAAGUGAAUUUGAAACAUUUUCUCAGAUUUACGUUGAUACUUUGUGACUUUAACUAGACUUGCAAUAAAAUGACAUAAUAGAUAUUUUUAGUCUGUGUCUUGUUUGGAGGGACAGUCCCUUUUUAGAAGCAAAAUAAUUCUAUCCUGUGCUCUUGUAUAACUAAGUGCACGUCAGGAUUACUAGUAGAUCCAGCACGUAGAACUGUAUCACAACUGGGACUAAAAGGUAAUGUCUUCACUUCAGCACAAUCUGAUCAUAGUUUAUCGCACAAGAGAAAUAAUGAAUAACAUGAGAAAUUCGGGACCAUAGGCAUGCAUGGGGAUGGGGGGUGCUGGAUGUGCCUGGGCACACUCUAAUCCCCGCAACCCGCGCUGUGUGCCUCCAUGUGCUGGUGAAUGGCCGGACUUAACGUACCAGAGAAUAAUCAGAAUACUUGCCGAGGUCAGGGACACAAAAGGGGACACAACGAUGAGGGAAAGACAAAAGUCAAGGAUACCAGAAUACAGAAAGGUCAAAACAAAGCCAAAGUUAAUACCCAGAAACAAACUAUCAGGAAUGCACUCUCGGACAACCACUAAGGUCAACCACGACAGGGCAAUGAGCUGAAGAAAUAGAUGAGUUUAAAUACCCCUCCUGUGGAUCCGCACACGUCGACAUCGUCCAUGCUGUGGGCGGACGUGGGGCUACAAAUUGGUGUCCAUCAACAUGCUGCAGGAGUCAGACGUAUUGACGCAUGGCCGCUGAACGGCACUACCGCACUUGUUGGCAAGGCAAUCACUAUCGAUGUCGCAAGGUGAGGUUGAAUAGUUUUCAGUGCAUCACAGAGUUCUACAGCAGCCAUCAUUUUGCAAUACUGUAUUAAUAGUUAAAGGGACACUAUAGUCACUAGAACAACUUGUAUUUGUUCUGGCGAGUAUAGACAGUCCCUGCAGGCUUUUUGCAGUAAACACUGUUUUUUUUCCAGAGAAAAGGCAGUGUUUACAUUAAAGCUUACCGACACCGCCACUCCUGAGAUGCCUAAUAGAGGUCCUUCCUGGGGCAAUGCUGCACUGCCGUUCUGCAUCUCCACGCUCUGCAUGGAGAAGCCAAACUUUUCUAAUAGAGAUUCAUUGAUGCAAUGCAUCUCUUUGAGGAGGUGCUGAUUGACCUGGCCGCCAUUUAGCCACACCUCAUCCCACCCCGCCUCCUUGGUGAUGCCAGCCAAUCCAAUGCUUUCCCUGUCAGUCAGAGAGGCUGAUUGGAGGUGGAUAGGGGCCAGGCCAUCAUGGUGCUGGAAAAUAGGUAAGUUAUGACCCUUUGUGAGGAGGCAAGGGGGGGGCAAGCCACCUAAAUGGUGGAUUUAACACUAUAGGGCCAGGAAUACAAAAAUGUAUUAGAUUUAUUGCUUUCUGGUUUAGACAAAUUUGGACCAUGUGAUCAUUUAUGGAAAAAUUAUUUAGAUGAAAGUAGAGGGUGCAAAAAUGUGCAAAUCUGUGAACUGCAGAAUAUAUACGAAAUAUAUAAAUACGUUUUUCGGUUAUUUGGUUCACACAUCAAGUGAGAAGAAGUGGCCAAUCAAGGGAAAAAAAGAGUAGCAUUAAAAACCUAUAUUUAUAUAUUGUAUAUUAUAUAUUUAUUUAAUAUAUUUAGUAAUAUAAAUUUUAAUUCAUUCAUCCACCCAAAGCAGUUGUACUCAUCAUAUCGGAUGACGGUAGCAAUACUGUAGAUACUCACCGAUUGCACAUAGCCUGCAUACACAACUUAUCCACAUAUUGGAUAUCAUCCAGUUGGUACUGAGACUUCUGACUGUUUGAUUGAUGUCUCUCUCAGUGCUCAGAGUGGGUGCAGUACACUCUCUGCACCAUUAAUGCUGCAAUUAUGCUAAAUUGUUUUUUUGUUUAGUAACCUUUUAAGUCACCUAAUCCUUCUUAAUGCCCUGACUUUUUGUGGCCAGAUUAUGCUUAUGUAAAAUUGCAUACUUCAAGGCUUUUUGGAUUAAAAUGCAACCCAAAGUUGAAUGCAUGUUGGUGUAUGUACGCUCUAUACUAGUGGAUGUGAAAAGAAAACGAAUAAAGGAAAACCUUGCUGUACCUUGAUGAAUAAUAUAUACUAAUGGAUAAUCCAGAGUAGUCAGGUAUACCUUAAAUACAAAACACAAAUAUACAGAACAUAGUGUAACCUGUAUACAAAAUGUAAAUAAAAAUAAAGUGCAUAAGUAACUCACUCACACUUUUCUGAGCUAAUGUACUAGCUCAGGUAUAUGCGCCUUAGGGUCCGUAGAGGCGACCCUUCCCCUCCUUUUCGUCCAAAUAGUCUCCAGGUAUAUAGUCCUAGGUAAUAGGUAUAGGAGGAGAGAAUAGCGUAGUACAGUCUGAUGUAUAUAAGGUAUAUUAAAUAAAUAAUACCAAUAUACUCACAAACCCUGAGCCAAUGUAUCGGCUCGCUUCAUAAGAUGUAUGUGGUUAAGGACCACAAUCCUUCUUUAUAAUAGCAGGUAAGAAUAAAAGCCGUAAGUGUGAUAAAAUAUAUAUAUAUAAUUUAUUGUAUAAAAAGUAUUACAUAAAUAUAAAAAAAUACACUAUAUCAAUAAAUCAACACUUGUGGCUGUUUUUUUGUUUAGUAACCUUUUAAGUCACCUAAUCCUUCUUAAUGCCCUGACUUUUUGUGGCCAGAUUAUGCUUAUGUAAAAUUGCAUACUUCAAGGCUUUUUGUGUUAAAAUGCAACCCAAAGUUGAAUGCAUGUUGGUGUAUGUACGUUGUAAAAGAUGUCUCUAACUGAUGGGAAAUAUUUCAAAUUUCCCUGACCCGACACUCAGGCACUACCCCUAAAGUAGCAUUAUCAGUCUGGUUAUUUGAGAUAUUUGGAGAAAUAUAUUAGAUGGCGAUAUUGUUAUCCUGUCCUAAAAAGACAUUAAAAUUUAAACAGCUUUGUUGAAAUGCAAAGGCAUUUGGUGCCAAAGUGAGAAACAUUUUUGGCUCAUAGAACAUGAUAUGUAAAUUUGAGCUUUGGAAGGUGUCCCUUCUGUCGAUGCUUACAUUUGUAACAAAUUCUUAAAUGCUUUGUCUCUUUGUGAUAUAUGCCAGACAUUUCUAUAUAGAAUAAUAAUUAUGUCUGUUUUAUUCAACAUGAAGUGACAAUAACUUUCAAAACAGCUAAUCACACAAUUUUCCGAAUACGAAUGUCAAAUAUUUUCUUGAUUAAAUCUUUGAAAUUUUUCACCUUUAGUUGCAAGUGAAUUUUUUUUUUAACUUUACUAUUUCUUAAAAAAAAAAAAAUACAAAACUAGUAAAAUAAUAAAAUAAACUUAAUGAGAAAGAUAAGCAGCGAAACCACAGGGCUAAGUGGCUCAAAUCAGUUUUAAAAAGGGAGUAAAAUAUCGAAGUAAAAAUCAGUUCUUAAGAAUAAAAGCUGUGUGUUAUUCCAAACAGAGAUUCAUUUCUCUCACUUACUGUAAAAAUGAAUUGUUGGGAAACGAGUGUUGCCAACACAGCGCUCUGUGUUCUGUAGACUCACGAGCAGAAUGCUAGGUAGAAAAGUAGUCUUUUGAGCUUUUCGUAGUUCUUGCUUUGUGAUGGCUGGCUAGGAGCCUGCACAUUUCAUGAGUACACAAUAGGGAGUUGGGCAAGACUGCAGAAAUAAAUUUUAUUAACACACAGUCUCUGCAGUACCAGACAGAAUAAUCUGCUUUAGCUGGCACAGCCCCCCCCCCUUUGAAGAAGGUCAAGUCAGUUAGCUGCCUAAUACAUGACAUGUUUUAUAUCAGAAGGGGCUUAAUUAAAGAUCUGGAAAAAUACAGAUUUAAACCAACAAUCUGCCAUUACAAUAAAUGUGUUACUAUCGUGCGUGUUCAUGUGUUUGUGUAUAUACUUUGUGUGUGCAAAUGUCGCUGUUUCUCUAAAAGAUCUGUGACAUAUUAUUAUCUUCAAUAAUUAUAUGUAUUUCUCAGGAUCACAGUAACAUGUACUUUUUGUAAACGGGUUUCUAAACCUACAUAAAACUGAAACAAGGAAGACCUGAGAGUGCUCUUUGAUAUGUUUUUGUGUGUACAUAAAUAUAUAAGGAGCUGUAAAGGGUACAUAAUUUAAAAAAAAAAUCAUAUAUUACAUGUCAUCUGUGCAAUUUAUUGCCGUAAUGAAUGGAUAAUCAUGCACAGAUCAACUCUUUGCAGCCUGGUGGCCCUAAUCUAGGGCAGAACUUGGACAAACAUGUUCUUGAUUGCCUGAGAUGUUUGCAUAUUUGUUAGAAUGUGUGGAUGAGUGUAUAUAUUUGUGUAUUUGUUAGAAUGUGUAAAUGAUUGUAUAUGUUUGUGUAUUUGUAUUUGUAUUUGUUAGAAUGUGUAAAUGAGUGUAUAUGUUUGUGUAUUUGUAUGUGUAUUUGUUAGAAUGUGUAAAUGAGUGUAUAUGUUUGUGUAUUUGUAACAAUGUGUAAAUGAUUGUAUAUGUUUGUGUGUUUGUUAGAAUGUGUAAAUGAGUGUAUAUGUUUGUGUAUUUGUUAGAAUGUGUAAUUGACUGUGUGUAUAUGUUUGUGUAUUUGUUAGAAUGUGUAAAUGACUGUGUGUAUAUGUUUGUGUGUUUGUUAGAAUGUGUAAAUGAGUGUAUAUGUUUGUGUAUUUGUUAGAAUGUGUAAUUGACUGUGUGUAUAUGUUUGUGUAUUUGUUAGAAUGUGUAAUUGACUGUGUGUAUAUGUUUGUGUAUUUGUUAGAAUGUGUAAAUGACUGUGUGUAUAUGUACUUGAUUCCAAAAUCUUAUUCCAUUAUAGGCUGCAGUUUUACUUGUUUUGUGACUUUGUAAAGGAAUUAACAAGUGUUCAGAUAUUUUGGUUUCCAGGUCCUGUUGCCAGCCCCGACAAACUUGCCAAGUGUGAUACAAAUCCAUUCUGUUGAAUUGGAGAAUAAAGGACGUGAAAAUAUAUACCUCGGGGGGUUCUUUGACACCAUGCUUAUUUUUCCAUCAGAUUUAUUUAUUGGAUUAAAUCCAAAUAUUACCAGUGCUAAUGUUGCUAAUGGGCGGAGUCCCAUAGUGAGAAUGGGAAAUCAUUAAUAGAGUAGGGAAAAAUAAUUUGUAUCUGUGAAAGAGUUACAAAAAUGUUUAAAACAGGGGUACAGUAGAAAUUAAUUUAAGAGUCUACAUUUAAGGAUGUUUAAGGAUGUUUAAAUAAAUGUACAAUGGCGUUUAAAGGGUCACUAUAAACACAAUCACGACUUUGCAUAAUUACUUGAAUCUGUCACAGAUCUGAGAGUCACGUACAAUUAUUUGUAAAAAUCGCUGCAGCUCUAAACCUGCCUUUUGAGCUAUGUUAAAGGGAUUCUUUAGUGUUAGAAAUACAAAUCUGUAUUCCUAACACUAUAGUGCCCUCUCAUCCCCCCUCUCUCGCACCCCUCCGGCAUGUAAAGGGUAAAAAAACGCUUUAUUUACUCACCGGAUUCCAGAGACGAUGUCCUUGGCGUUAGGUCAGAGCUUCGCCCUCCGAUGUCAUCCGACAAUGGGGGCCUAAUGUGCAUGCAUGGUGAACGACAUAAGCGCAUUAGGCCCUCCCCACAGGAAGGCAUUGAAUCAGUGCUUACCUAUGAGCAUUUUCUAUACGCUGGACAUUCUCAUGCAUUUCCUAUACGCUGGACAUCCAGCGUCAUUUAGGUUAGUUAGGAUCCAGGAGGUGCUCCUAGUGGCUGUCUGAUUGACAGCCACUAGAGGCAGUCUAAGUCCUAUAAGGUAAUCACUUAUGUUUCUCAAAAACUGCAGUUAUUUACAUUGCACGGUUAAAUGGGAUAGAGACAGUGCACCCAGACCACUUCAAGUGGUCUGGGCGCCUACAGUGUCCCUUUAAUUUUUAAAUACCUGAACAGAGCACACACAACUUGGAUGAUUGUGCUCAGUCUCCUCCUAGGUGACACAGCCAAGCUGCAGACUGUCGAUUUGCCAAGAGCUGCACUACGCAGUCCACUGGAUUAUAUACAAAACCCUGAUAAGGCAGGCCAAAGGCUAGCCAGGAAAAGGGACAUGUGUGAGUGAGUGUAGACUCAGGGCAGGGGAGAUUUUGAGUGAGCAUCAGGGGUGGAGCCCUGGGUAGGGGUUAGGUAUAAUAUAUCUAGGUGUCCAUUUUCUGUAAGGGGUUCAGCCAUCUCAAUCUGGCUUGGAGCAGCUUACCUGUACUGUUGCCAGAGCUUGUUUUCAGAUAUCGAUAAGGUACUGGCAGGUCAUUCGCCUGCAGGCUGCUGCCGCAGUGGCCGCCACUGGUUACUGUGGCCCAUGAUGGCAGGCUCGACCUCCCGCACAUUUUAGCCCCUCUCUGGGUGGCCUGGUGUCCCCCAGGCGCCGGAGCCCAAGUCCGGCCUCGCGACCUAGGCAGCCCAUGACCCUCCAGGGCUUCAGGGAGGGUUGCAGCAGCCCAGAUUCGGCCGGUGGGCCUUUGAUUCCAGACGGCUGUCUUAGCCUAAUAGAAGCCACAGGACACGGGUGUGAGGCUAGAUGCGGCCCCCACCGUACAUGUCUCUCCACCGCGGGUCGCCAGGAGGGCAGCGGCGUCCCGCGCUGUGCUCCAAGAUGCCCAGCACGUGUCCUGCUCGUCUGUCAUUUCUAUGGUAAUGAGGAUUGGCGCCGCAAACCGGUCUCGGGGGCCCCGAAUUUUGAGGUAGUGCUGUUCAGUGUGGCGUUCUCUUUUGCAUUUUUCUGGGAGAUGAGAGUGGGGGAGCUCGUUAGUCCUAGUGAUAAUGUCUCUGGAGUGGUACUGUGGGGUGAUGUGGACUGCGCUGUGGAUUUGGUGCGUUUUUUGUUGCGGUGCUCCAAAACAGAUACUCGCGGGAGAUGCGUAUGGGUCUCUCUUUGGGAGAUCCUGGGUUUGGUAGUUUGCCCGGUCUCUUGUUUUUGCUGUUUGGCGUGAUUCGGCCGUCGGUAUCCAGGCCACUGUUUGUCCACCAAGACAAGGGGCUGUAGUCCCGAUUUCUGUUCAUCAAGGUAUUCAAGAUGUCACUGGAUGCAUUGGGCAUCCGGAGUCAGGAAUUCGAGGGCCACUCUUUUAGGAUUGGGGUGGCAACAGACCCAACGCACUUAGGGCUCUCGGAUAUGGCCAUUCGCAGGAUUGAUUUUAUAUAUCUGGGUGUCCAUUUUCUGUAAGGGGCUCAGCCAUCUUAAUUAUCCCAGCUUGGAAUAGAUUCCCUCCCUACCUCCCUUUGUGUUAUGGUUUAUGGUUUGUGUUUGUUUCUAACAUGUGUUUUCUUGUCACAGCGUUCAGCGGAAAAGGUCCCUUGCCAAUCAGGGUUGGACCAGCGGUCCAGUGGAAAAGAUGAUUGGAGCUGAUCCCUCCUCUAACAUCAGUUAUGUUUAUGGGUAAUGUAUUUGCCCACUGAGCCAGAGGCAGGCGUGUGGUUAGCAUGGAGUUAAUGUUAGGCCAGUUGUGAGGCCGGUUGGUGUAUGGGACGAGAGGGGAGGGCAAGUGCCCAGGAUCAGCAGGAAUGGUUGACACAGCUGGAUUUCCAUCAUAGCCUACGUUUGGUACUUUACAUCCUCGAAGAGCGCUGUUCGGUGGAAUUGUUCAUCUGAAUGAGAUGAACAAGCUCCACGGUAUGAAUAUUGACUGCGUUCGGUAUUUUGUUUGUUUGGAAACUACCGAACUAGAGAGACCACAAGCCCUGAUUCUCUGGAACUAUUUGGGCAUUGGACCAUGUGUGCGGUCGGUCAAAAUAUGACUUCCAUGGAGAUCCUGAACCUCUGAGCUGAUCUGGGUGAUUUUGGGAUAUGUUGGUCACCCAGAUCGAGGAUAUCAGGGGAUGUAACUUUUAUGGGAUUUCCAUGGGCUUUAGGGGUACUUUUGGGGUAUUGCUGAAAUGUGUGUUUUCUGCCUGGGAUAAUUGAGUUAGUACAGUCCAUGACUCAAUUAUCUCCCAGGCACAGGGGAGGGAUUGUCUCAUUAUGUAUGAGAGUGUCCUGGAUCUGAGAGCCAAUGUAAUCGUGUGUUUGUUUCUGCUGUGGUUUACUCUCAGGUCCAGGGGGAGUGCCCCUUGCAUGGAAACUUGCAUAUAAGGCCAGUUGUGGCUACCAAUAAACGAGUUCCUGCCUACCCUAAACAUCCCAUCUUAUGUGUGGGGGCAAAAAGCUGUAUCUGCUCUGGGAAUUGCUAUAUCACAAUACUCCCCUGGACAAUAAUUACUGGCUCUUGUAAGAGCUACACUGCUAUACCUGCUAUACUCUCUUGGGAAAGAGGUCUUCUGGGAGCUGGAUCCAUGAGUUUGGUCCAGGGUGAGAAGGGAUGGCGAGACCCCAGUCAAGCUGCGGUGGCUAAGGGGCUACGGUGCUAAUGGUGUCCAGUGUGGUGCUUAUGGUACUCGGCGACAGCUAGGAAGCAAUGAUUGGCAGAGGCACCCAGUCGGGGUGCCAGGCGUUCUGUCACAAAGUGUAGUCCUUGUAUAUCUUGUAAACAUUUAUUUUGAGAUGGGUUUUCUUUUAACCCCUGUUUUUUCCCUUAUUGUCUUAUUCCCUUGUUGUAUUCUUAUAAAAUAUAAAACUUUUCAAUAAAAUAUAUUUGAAAAGAAUAAGUGUAUGAUUUAUAGAGCUUGGGUGAAAACAAUAUUUACUAGAUAAAAAAAAGGUAUUUUAGUGUAGGGAGGCUGGUCACUAAUACAAAGCCUCACCACACACUGUCACCCCCUACACACUGUCAUCCCCCCCCCCACACACUGUCACCCCCUAUACAUACACUGUCAUCCCCCAUACAUACACUGUCACCCCCCACACAGACACUGUCACACCCACACACACUUUUACCUCCCCCUACACACACUGUCACCCCUCCCACAUACACUGCCGCCCCCCGACACACACUGUCACCUCCAGACACACACAGUCACCUCCCUUUGUAGAAUUAAUGCUCCCUCUUUCCACCUGUCACCUAAGACAGACCACCUUCACUGCCCCCCCGUUAGAACAGCACUGAUAUAGUAAAUAAUGUUACCAUCCAUAUCUCCCUGCUUUGGUAUGCUUGCCUCUUAACUAUUUAUCAGUUUUUCCAUCUCUCUAUUUAUCUCUUUUUUCCACCUGACCUUGCAUUAUUUUCUCUCUGUGAGCAGGUCUUGUUGAAGCUUUGUCCUCAAUUGGCUCGACUCUUCCUGUCAUCUCCUGUGUGCAAUUUACUGCUUAAUGAACAAAAUGUAUCAUACCACAAACCAUGCUAGGAAAAGUGCACACCAGAACUAUAAACCUGCAGGGUUGUUAUCUAGCGUGACAUUUUAUAAGAUUAUGGCACUACUGAAAAUACAGAUAAAAUUAAAGUUUGUAAUAAAAACAUAACUCCUAAUGGUUAUGAAUGUAUUCUCCUUCUGGAGAGUCAGUUUCAAUGUGUGUAGGCUUUUAAAAUCAAGUCACAAUAUGAAGUGCAACCACAUUUAAAAUAAAUAUUUCCUUAUUUAAAGGAGAACUGUACUUUUUUAUGACAAUUCUACUUUUCUUCUAGUCGUUAGACACUAUUGGAGAACCUAUGGGUUAGACUCUAGACUCUCUAGACCAAUAGUGUAAAUGAGGCAAUCCUUACAGGGUGAUCAACAUGCCCCUAAUGUUCUGCUGGAGUGGAGUUAAGCUGAUCUAGCAUAUAACUUAAAGGGACACUAUAGUCACCAAAACAACUAUAGCUCAACAAAGCAGUUUUUGUGUUUUAUUAAUCAUGCCUCUGAUGGUUUACUGCUCAAUUUACUGUCAUUUAGGAGUUAAAUCACUUUUGUUUCUGUUUUUGCAGCCCUAGCUACACAUCCCCUGGCUGUGACUGACUCAGCCAGCAAGAAAACAAAAUGUUUUCAUUUUUCUAUCAGAUGUAACUUACUUUAAAAGUAUUUAUCUCCUGCUCUGUAAAUUGAACUUUAAUUUCAUACAGGAGGUUUUUAGAUUAGAAAUUCUAAAUUAAACAAAAUUUGCAAUAAAGGAAAUGUACACAUUAUAUGACUCUUUACAGGAAGUGUUUAGGAACGCUGUGUAAGUCAUUUGCAUUAAGAUGUGACUAGAGUUGUAUAAACAAAGUGAUUAAACUCCCAAAUGGCAGAGAAUUGAGCAGUGAGACUGCUGGGGUAUGAUCUAUACACCCAAACUGCUUCAUUAACCUAAAGUUGUUUUGGGGGCUAUAAUGUCCCUUUAACUUAAAUAAAUAAAUAAAUAAAUAAAUACAAAUAAUAGCUUCUACUUAUUUAGUUUAACUCUAGUAGGUUCCACUUCAGAUUAAAUCCUUAAAUUAUAAUCAUCUAUAGGGUUAUUUUCGAAGAACUGACAACAUUUGCAAUUUUUUUUGUCAGUUUACCAUUAUUCACAGUUUUUUGAAUAACACCAAUAUUUUUUUAAUUUUGUGACAGAGUGCCAAAAAUAGCAGAAUUAACUUUCUGAAUAAAAAAAGGCCACACACCUAUAUUAGGUUUAUCCAAUGGUCCUACCAGACACUCUUCAAUGUGUUUUUACUUCAUAUAAAAUUUCAAGGUAAAAGGGGAAGUUUCGAUGGGCGCACGAUCUGGAGCUGGCUGCUUUAUGUUGUAGAGUGACUUUACACUUACUUUGAGAAAGUAUAUUCAGCAUAUUAAAACUUCUUAAUUGUUUGUGGUAGAUAAACCAUCCUGUAAGAAAUAACUAAGGCUUUCUCGAUAACAUAUCAAUUUAGUAUUACUUGAAAGGACAACUGUCAUCAAAUUUUAAAUUCUUUAAAAAAAAAAACAUUUAUUACUGUUAAUGAAACUUGAUUUUUUUUUUAAAUGAUGUAUAUUGAUUUUCUGAUAAAAUUUAACUUUUUUUUUAAUCUGGUUGAGCAGCCAUAUUGGCCCUACUCUACUGUUAUCUGAGCAACUACUGCUGUUCAACCUAACUUGCCAACUGCGGCUGCAGGUUCACACAUAGCAAUCACAGCAGCAGGCAAGUGAGUUUGAGCAGCAGUUGGUCGUAUAAUGGCAGAGUCUGACCUAAAAAAUUAAAUAUUCUCAAGCUUUAGCCACAACCUAGCAACCUUUUUUCAAAUAACUAAUUAAAUACUGUGAGAAUAACUUUACAAAUGAUUUAUCUACAGACGUCUCCAUUAAAGUCUGUGGUAACUUUAGCAGAUAAAUCAUUUAACCCCUUAAGGACAGAGCUUCAAAAGCUUGUCUUUCACUUAAUGACAACGGCAUUUUUUUCAUUUUUUGCUGUUUGCGUUCAACUGCAAUUUGCAUUUUACUGAUUUGUUGCACCAACACAUAUUAUACAUUGUUUUUUAAAGGACAGAAAGGGCUUUAAUUUGAUGUAACACACACAUAUAUAUAUAUAUAUAAAUGGUUAUUUAUUAUAAAAAAUACAGAAAAAUGUAAAAGAAAUGAAAAUUUUAUGUUUUUUUUUUUACAGUUUUUGCAAUAAUAAUGUGUGCAUAAUUAGUGCAGGUUAAGAAAAGUAAUUAAAAAUAAAUUAAUUUAGUUGUUCUGAUUUACAGAAUAUAUAAUGUGUCUGGGAUUUUAAGUUUUUUUUGGUAGUUACAGGUCACAAAGUACAAGGAGUAAAAUAGACUUUUAAUGUGGAGCGAUCUUAGAAUUUGGUAUGUUUGUCUUGUAAGCUUAAUAGCCAUAAAAGAAAACAAAAUUGCUACACAAAAGUAUAUAUUUAUAUAAAGUAGACAUCACGGGCUAUUUACCUAAGGUUGUUUUGACACUUUCUACAUAGCCAUUUCACCGCCAACCUCUGCUAAAUAUUGGAGUAAAAUUGUGUUUUUUUUGGUUUUUGGCACACAAACUUAUAACAAAGAAAUUCUCAUGUAUAUUUUGUAAAGUUGGUGUGUGCUAUUCCUGUACAAAGUUUUAUUUUGUGUUCAGUUACAUCUGCUGAGCAAAAUGACAAAAGUAGACUUGUAAAAGUAGACACUCCAGGGUAUCUCAUAAGGUGCAUAUUGUGCCUUAACAUGCCCCCAUUUUUUCACCAAUAUAUGCCAAAGUAUGUGGUAAAAAAUAAUUUUGUGCAUUUUUUACAUACGGAUUGCAUUUUUGCUGGGCGUUUUGUAUAUUUCAUAUUUGCCACUAAGUUCAAACCUCCGCUAAGUCUUCUGAGUAAAAAGACACCCCCAAUGAAUGUCUUUGGCACUAUUUUGUGAAGCUACAGUGCUAUAAAGGAGACCAAGCCAUAUCCGUUUUUACCGAACUUUGAAUUUUGACGCUGGGCCUAUGUGCAAUUUCCAAGCAUCUUCGCAGGUUUUAAAUUCAAACUACCCCACAAUGGCUUAUCAUUUCUUAAAGUAGACACCCCAGGGUGUUUCAAAAGGUAUAUUUUGAACCUUAGCGUGGGAUCAUUUUUCCGCUAGCUUGUACCAGAUGUAGUGGUAAUAAGCGUUUUUUCUGCCUUUUUGACAUACAAAGUUAGUUUGCACAGUAUAUUUUGCAAACCUUAUGUGUGCUACAACUGUAUAAUACUUCAUAUGUUGCUCAGCUAUGUCGGCUGAGUACAGCAAUAACCCCGUAUGUACCUUUGCCUGGUAUGUGUGGACAUCGGAGGGGCACAUUUGGGACACAGCCAUUCAAGUUAAUUUUACUGCGUGACGGACAAGGUCCGUCACUCGUCACUAAGGGUCUCCCCUCUGUGACGGACCUCGUCCAUCACCCGUCCUUAAGGGGUUAAACAUUUAGUACGUUUUCUAUUUAUUUAUUUUUAUUUAUUAAUGGUAUUUAUAAAAAGCCAAACAUAUUCUGCAGCGCUGUAGAAUUAGGAAAAAGACAAUACAAUAAGAACAGACCGAUACAACAGGUAAACAGUCUGAAUGGUAUUAAAAGGGCACACAACUUUUUACACUAUGCUACUGUAUAUAUGUGGCACUGAAUCACAAGUCUCUUACCCAAUUAACCUCAGUUCAGACAUGCAUGUUUUCCCAUUGCUCUUUCAGCGAGAGACAUGGUAAUUUUGGUUGAAAUCAUGUAAGUUUGUUGCCAAAGCAAAGCAAACCAAACCACUCAUUGUGAAUAAUCCCCUAGUCAUGCUAUUGUAUUGGCACACGCAUAAUUGUUCCAGAUUAUUUGGCACUAGGAUUAUACACUGGUUUUGUUUUAUUGUUUUUAAAUAUUAAUAAAUCUGGCUUGCCACUUUGUGUCCCUAUGCCACUUCAAUUUAAAUCAAUUUCCCAGAAUUAUUCUGAUCACACUUCAGUCCAGACUAUUCACUGCCGUGUUUAUGAACCAUUGAGAUUUGGGAAACAUUAGACAUGUCUGUUUUUAAAUAAAGGUAUACACUUUUAUAUUGGGAAUUCCAGUCUAGACAAAGAGGCAACCAAACAACAAAAAGAAGGUAUUAUUAUUUUUUUUUCUUCCCUGGGUCUCAGUCUUAACCCUCUCCGAGUAGAGAGUUAGCUAUAUGUGAGUGGUAAUCCUCAGAACCUCAUGUUACACUGACUGCGACGUUUGAAAUACAUAAUUGCUCUUCUAUCUUCUUCAUCUGAAUCACUCCAGACUGAUAAUUAUUGGUCUUGUUCUUUAGUCAUUUUAAAUGCUUUGAAUCACAGAGGAAUAAAAGGUAAUAAACAAAGAAAUCUGUUUUGCUUUGUGUUUCAUAGGGACAUUUUUGAGGACCUAAAUUUUUUUUUAAAGAAAAACAUGGAAUAACACUUAAGGGUUUAAUCGCUAAACAGUGAUUUAAAAUGAAUUUAAAAUUGUAUUGAAAAAUUAUGUCUAGAAUAAACAAGCGUUUGUUAUAAGUGAGUAGAAGAAAUUAUUUUUAAAUUAGAUAUUUUACUAAAAUUUUCCAAUUUGGGUUUCAGUUUUUAACAAUUCCUUCCUUAGUUAAAAAGUUCCCUGAGUCGGACAUUAUGGAAUAGUGACAGGGGAAUUCACUUGGAGAAUAUUUACAAUUCUUUACAAUUCUUGAUUAAGUGAAACCACCCAAAAAAAUUUCUAAAUGUAAAUCACGUUUUCUAAAAAUGGCACUGAAAUGUAGCAUUCCUUCCUAAAACACGAAUAACAAUGUAUGUUAUUACAUUUCGAGAUGCCAUUCUGUAUACCACUCUUGUAAAGACUGCUUGUUUAUACGUGUAUUUGUGGAAUUUCAGCCACCAUGAACUUUUCAGUCAUUCUACUCUAUCAUUAACAGUGGAUUUUUGCCCACAGAAUUGCUGCUCACCAGACAUUUUUAUUAUGAGACCAUUCUCUCUAAACUCUAGAGCCAUAAUACCAUGGAAAUCCCCAAGAGUCAACUAUUUCUAAAACACUAAAGCCAACCACAUUAGUUUUAAAUGAAUUUCUUCUAUGAUCAGGGUGCGUGUGAUCUAGGUUCAGCGUGGGAAUUGUAUGGUCAUGUUGGUGAUGAAAAGGCUUGGCCACAUGUUUGUCAAUUAUAUUAUAACUUUUAUGCAUGUUCAUAAAAGAACAUUUCACAAAUAUAUCGCUUACUAACAGUGAACUAUCUGUGUGAAACAAGGCAUUAUACUCUUAAUAAAUAUACAUUAGCAGACGGUUACACUGUUGUCGUGACAGGAUCUAACUGAUUUCAAUGUGUCCAGUUUUUCUGUGAUUUUGUUUAACGGAUUUCAUCGAGGGACUCACUGAGGACCAUUAAAGCACUCUAGCUUCAGCCUGCAAUUUGGACUGUCAUUAUAGAUACAUUCUAGUAGGUUUUUUUUCUCCAAAUCUCUUUAUUGAAGACAUUUAUUGCACAUCAAAUAAGCACUUACCUAUUCUUCUGAGAGAAAUCAAGUCAGAGCAAAUGACGUCAGGGAAUAAGUUCAAUAAUAUAUUUACAAGUUGUUGUAACUCUGUCUCAAAGAAGAAAUAAGUUGUGUACACAUGCACUGAUUACAUCACAGCAACAUUCCCAUCUUAUAAUUUUCUCCUACAUUAAUCAUUAGAUCUGACAAUGAAGUUUUAAUGUACCAUUUUACAAUGCGUUUAUUAUUAAGUUCACUGCAAUCAAAAUUUCUUGUGUUUUGUUGAGAGAGGCUCAUCUAAAUCAAGUUCUGCAUUUUUCACACAUCUUUCAGGGCCUGUGUUUUCUUGUUCAUUCAAGUUGAAUAACUAAAGAUCACCUCUUCCUCCGCACAAAUAGAUGGCAG